rnacentral:lncRNA from 1 species
GAAUAUACCAAGGUUCAAGCCUGAAAAUUUUGAGCACAACCAGCAAAUAUACGAGCAAGUCAAGGAAAUAGCAUCAAGAAAGGGAUGCACCACAUCACAACUUGCAUUGGCUUGGAUUCUUCACAAAGGGGAUGACAUAUGCCCCAUACCCGGUACCACCAAGAUUGACAACCUCAACGAAAAUAUCGAAGCCUUAUCUGUAAAGCUGACAACUGAUGAAAUGAUGCAGUUAGAGUCCUGUGCUGCUGAAGAUAUGGUUAAAGGCGAAAGGCACGCAUUCAUGUGGGCAACUUGGAUAAAUUCGGAGACUCCACCAUUGUCCUCCUGGAUAGAUGAAUAAUGGAUACUUUCUCGUUUUGCUUUGGAAGAAGCCCGUUAAAGCCCAAGUGUAAUUCGAAGUAAAGGCUGAACCUCGGUUAAUGACAGUUCAGCAUUUCUUUCUAGCAGGUGCAAUAGAGACUAGGAUUUACAAAUCUACUAUGUUCUGGACAAAUGAAUAGACACAGUGUGCACACUAUGUAGUUUGCUAGUAGUCUGAAGUUCUUUUGCUAGUGCAUACCUUUAUAUCCAAUUUUCCUUGUAUUUGUGAUGAAAAUUUAUUGUUAUCCCCUGUGUACCUUUGAUCCUUUGUGCGAUAGAGCCCUUCCACAGAAGACUCCUGAAUCACUCCAAGUCUCGAUUUUUCAAUGUUAUAAUAUGGUUUAUAAUUGUUUAUGCUUAAUGCAUAUUCAAGUUGUACUUUUUCAUCUGAUACCAUUGCCGCUAAACACUCUAUGAAGUAGAGCAUUUAUCCGGUUCUUCUCUAUACUUGAUUUACAUAAAACUUGGAGUAUCUCAGACUGUUAAAUCUUCCAGAGACUCGAAUCUGUAUCCUCGUAAAUCUAUGCUUUACAUUUUCUACCCGAGUUUUAUAGAUAUGUAUAGGUUCAUGUUAAACUACCUGAUUUGAUGUAGGCUAUCAAAGGAAUAAGAGAGAAAGUACAAAUAGGUAGCAAGUUGUUAUCCAAAAGUACUACUUGUACUUGGUUUGAUUUGUAUGCCGGUCCAUGUUUUAUGAGACACACCUUGUCAAGUCUAUGCUACUCUUCCAUUUUUGCUUCUCUUUGUUUUAUGAUUUUAUUGAUGUGUCAUUUUACAAACUUCUUCAAUUUAUGAUAAACACUUUCAUAACAAGUUAUUUCUUAAAUACUUUAAUUGGAAAUGAAUUUCGAGACAACAGCUGCAUGGAAAUGAUGCACCCCUUCAAAGUUAGCAUUGGCUUGGGUUCUUCAUCAAGGAGAUGACAGGCACUACGAAGGUUGAAAACUUCAACGAAAAUGUAGGAGCCUUUCCGUAAAGUUGAUAGCAGAAGACAUGAAAGAACUCGAAUCGUAUACCUCUGGUGAUGUUGUCAAAGGUGAGAGACAUGUAUACAUGUCGUCAACUUGGAUAAAUUCAGAGACUCCGCCAUUGUCCUCCCUAGAAAGUUGAAUAGGGAUUUGACAAGUGAUAUCUAUUUGGCUUCUUAUGAUGCUCAAAUUCUCCAAAGAUAUUGUUGCACAUGUGUCGAUCCUCUAUGGAAAAUCCAAUAUAAACUUGGUGACAUUUUUAAAGAGUCGGAACAACAUAGAUAGCUUUUGUACAUGUACUCAAUACUUAUUUAUGAAGUGAGACGUAUGUUAUGGAUUGCUCCUAAAUUAUUUAGUACUAAGCUAUCAAAACAACUUUCAUUCAGUAUUCUAUUGAUUGAUAAUAGGGAGGUAUAUAUGCUUGUAUUCAACCAGCUUUCAAUUGUAUACUUUAUUGAAUUUUGCAGGUGUAAGAUGAAGGGAAACAACUAUUAUAUUACAAAAAACAAACAAGAAGCAAUGUUUUGACAGGUUGUAAAAUAAUAAAGCUGCAUAACAAAGACAACAAGAAAUCACAGUUAAAGACCAUCUAAAACAUACAGAAAAAGGACAGGGAUUUCAGCUCUAGGCGCACAAUAUACUUGAGCAUGAGCAUGAGCAUGGCUGCAACAAUUGGCUGUACUUCUGCUGCAAUUAUCAAAUUGAAAUACAUCCUCGUUAGUUUGAGAUCAACAUGGAGCAAUUAAGUGAAAGCAAGCAUUAAAUUAGAAGAAGGAACAAGAAACAAUAUAUACCAUUGUUGUGAUUACAGGCGGGUACAUGUUUGACUCUCACAGCUGCCAGAUGACCCUAAUGAUUCUGUAUUAUACAUAUUGGUGUCAAGUUAGAUGCAGGUAGAUACUUAAAAACAAAACAUAGGAGUUUGUUUCUACUUACUUUGAUAAUGAGGUCAAUACGGUCGUUUCCUUCAUUCUCUUCAACAUAUUUCUUAAUCCUCACAGCUGAAGCCUCCAGAGAUUUCUUCUCACACCCAAUCAACUUAAUCUGUUUCAGCUAAGGGGGAUCUCCUUGAGGUGGUGACACAUUUUUAUAACAAGUGUUUCGAGCAGGGGAAAGGAUUCCUCCGAGGCAUCCCACCUUGACAUAUCUAAGAACGACAGUUUCAAGAACUUAAGGUUAUGGAAUGUGAUAUCUCCAAGGCACCAAUCUCUGAUUUGAACAAAUUCAUCCGGGUCACGUAAAUGGAGAUACUCCAGGCUUGGUAGUCCCGCAAUGAAGGAAACCAGGAUUUCUAUAUCAUUCCCACUUAGUACCAACUUCUUUAAAUUUGAAGGCAAUUGUAACCCAGAUACAAUGUCAGGCCUCUCAAUGGAAAGGCGAAGAUUUUGAAGCUGGGUAAGAUUCUCCAAUGUGAGACAAAAUAAAUCUGCCGAAUUAUUGCUGCCCCAAUAUUCCAAUUUGAUGUUCAGUUGUUGAAGAUUAGGACACCUCCUUGAUAACAUAUCCACCCUAUCACAUUUAUCAAUUGGAAAUUCAACGUACUUUAAUAUCCUCAAAUUUUCCAAUUUGGAGGAUCCUUCAAAGAGCCCCUGAUUAUCCUCUUCCAAAUCAAAUUUAGCAUUCCAAAUCCUAACAUACCUCAAUUUUUCCAUCUCCCAAAAAGACGCUGGUAACUGUACUUCAUUUUCUGAAUUAUUUACAAUUAAAGUUUCAAGAUUGGGCAGAUGUGAUUCUGGAUGAAAAUAGAACUUAUUUGCACGAACUCUGAGGCAUUUCAGUUGAUUUAGUGGUUUGAAUGUAGCUGACGACAAAUAACGCACUUCAUGGGAAGUCAAAUACAAGACCUUAAGAAGUCGCAAUUUAAGAAUCUGACGGAAGGGAAUCUCAUCAAUUAACUCUAGGUCAUUUAUCGUUAUCAGUGACCUCAAGUGUUGGUGGAAAGGCUUCCGUGUUUUGGAUCCUAGAGAUGCAAACUUGGAAAGCUCUCUACUGAAACUGAAGCUCACUCGACUUUCCUUCCAUUCAAAAAGUUGAAACUGGCUAUCAUGCCCCUUCACUGCCAACAUAAACUUUUCUUCUCGACUCUUCUCCAAGCAAAAGUGAAGCACUACAUCAUGAACCUGACAGUAUUUGACCUUACCAUUAUAACUUCUUUUUGAAACCAUUACCACGUUACUGUGAAUGAGAUCCAUCAAGUAACCUUCAGCUGCCUCUUCUAUCAAUCUCCCAGAUUCAAUGUUCUGCACGAAUCCUUCCGCAAUCCAUAGACUUAUCAAUUCAGAUACUCGAAUUAUUGCAUCCUCCGGAAACAUCCCCAUAUAAAGAAGACAAGGCUUUAAACAGUCGGUUAAGUUAUAGUAACUCAACUGCAUAGUUGAAAGACUAUAUUCUUCCGACUCACAAUCAAGAUGGUCAAAUAAAGAAUCUUUCACCUCAUUCCACCAAGAUUCUUCCAUUUCCUUUUUUGAUUAUUCCAGCUACCAAGACAACCACUAGGGGCAGUCCUUUGCAUUUUUCUGCAACUGCUUGACUCACAUCUUGUAGUUCAGGCGGGAAAUCUUCCUUUUGAAACACUUUUUUCUGCAACAAUUCACAACUCUCUUCUUUUGUGAGGAAUGGAAGAGAAUAAGGAUCAGUAUGGUACUUGACUUGUUCACCCACUUUCUGAAGUCGAGUUGUUACUACUAUUCUGCUUCUAAUUCCAAAAUCUGGAAAGGAAAGCCUUAAGUCAUCCCAUGCCAUACAAUCCCACAUAUCAUCCAAUACAAUGAGAUAUCUCUUGCCCAUUAAGCUUUUCCUCAACUCAUCAGCAAGGAUGUCAUCCUUGUCUCCCUCGUCCUUGGAACCGGUAACUUGACUCAAAAUCUCUUGUAAUAGCUUUCUCCGGUUAUAUGUUUGGGAAACGAUGCACCAUGCUUGAACAUCAAAAUGAGAAACAAUGUUGUCACUAUUGUACACCUUUCUAGCAAUUGUCGUUUUCCCUUGUCCACCCAUGCCUACAAUUGGGAUGACGUCUAGCUCAUUUGUACCUCUAAUCAGAUACUGAAGCAUUUUUUCUGUGUCAUUCCCAAAAUCCACUAUCUCCUCAUCAGUCUCUGAAUUGCUAUGUUGAGUUGGCAGAUGUUUAAAUGGUGCUACCACAUAGCAAGGCUUAAGAGCAACGUCAGCUGACCACAUCUCAGACACCUCCACAUUAAUUUGCUUGAUCUCUUUUAAGAUUGUUGGAAGUGAGCAAAAGAUAUGCAAAAAAACAUUAUACUGAGCAACAAUAGAAUCAAUGGCAGCUUCAGCUUCAUAUGCCCAUUUGAUAGUACGCCUCUGAAGAUCUUGAAGAAUUUCAUGUUCAUGGUGCACCUUGGCAACAUCUCUGAAAAUGGAUGAUAAAGAUGACAAAUCCUUCUCUAAAAUGGAUGUAAGAGCUGAUAGCUCUUUCUCCAAAUUCCCCAAAAGAGGUUUCAUCAGGAAAUCUAAACCAAAUUUAGAUUUCGACAUCCCAUUCAGUUUCCGUAUAAGACAAUCCAGAAAGCUCCAUCCACCAACAGUGGGGAACUGAGAUGGAGUAAAUUUUAAGGAUUUAUAGUACGUCUCCACUUGUGCCUUCAUAUCUUUAGCUUUAUCCAAUAUUUGUAUCGAGAAAAGACUUACUUUGCUAGUAUCAUCUUUGUUUAUAGAGGUAGGAAGAAGUUUUUCCAUGACAUAUAGAACAUCACCUGCUAUAGUUUCAGCUUUUUCCAUAACCUCAUUCAACCAGUUACCAUUAAUAACAUGAUUUGACACAUCAGCAUCAAGGAAGACCAACAAGAACUCUAUUGCCACAUCAAUAUUUUGAGCAGAGACAUCAUCAGGAAAGUUCUCGAGCUUUUCUUUUUUGAGAUACAUCAACAAUUUGUGGAGAUGAUGAGAAAAUCCUUUUGGCAAUUUCUUGUCCUUGAAAGUUCUUGAAUGAGACUUUGAAGCCUUUAGCUCACUGAGAAAAAUCUUCUUCAUUUCCAGCUCCACUAACACAAUCAAGAAUAAUAGAUAAGGAGGUGUAUUCAAGAUAUCAUUAAACUCAUCCUCAUCCACAUCUGAAUCAUCUAGAAGAAUAGAAACAAUGCGACCUGAAAGAGCAAGACAAAAUUGUCCCACAUUGUUAGCCAUGAAUUGAAUUUGAGUCUCCAAACAUUCCAUCUUCUCAUUGUCGACAUAACCAUUUAUCUCUGUGGCAUAUAGGUAUGUCAAAAAUCUCAGUUUCUUUUGAACAUUUUUCAGUUCCUUUAAAAAUCUGUAUAUUUCAUGGUUUUCUUCAGAAGGGUCAGACCUAGCGCUUUCCAGGCAGUACAACAGUACAUCAUUUAGAUUCUUUCCGGCGCAAUCCAUACAUUCUGACAUAUCAAAAUCAGCCAACUCAUAAUUGUAACUUAAAAUGGUAUUACGUUCCAAGAAUUCCAACAAAUGUAAUUCUAGCCUUUCUAGAUUAAGGUUAGUUUUACAUUCAUCUCGAAUCCCAUCCAAUACCCGGUGAAGCCUUGCCAUAGUCGAUUUGGCAUUCUUUGUGUGUUUGACUAAGGACUCACGACAAAGAACAUGAUGAUACUUUAUAAAGGUUCUCAAAAUUCUUAGCAUCAUUUCAAGCGCCUUAAUUUGAUCAAUCUUGGCGCUAAUCAGAUUACCUCCACUCUUGAUCCUUCUUAGGUGAUUUAACAUUUCCUCGAUUUCAUUUUCAGCCAUCUUCUCUUGAAAAAUUCCUGCAAGUUCACCAACUCUUGGAAUUAGGUUCAUUAAGAGAAACAUUUUUUUCAUCUAGUGUUCGAAAAUUAUACAUUUCACCUGCUAUAUAUGUUAAUGCUUGGGAAAGAUUAUACACAAAUGGUGCAUAUUUACGCUUUUCAUAUGAUCACUUAACUAAUUAUAGUUAUUACCUCAAAAAAUCAUCUUUUUCUUUUUAAUUCCAAUUUCCUGAGAUAUACAGUAGCUAGCUACUAGUUGAGUGGACCAUUUGAGAAAUCAACCCUCUAAUUCUGUAUCUAUGGGAAAAAGAUGACUUACAGUUAGUUAACAAGUAUCUUCAAUUUCUGAUCCAAUCAUAAAAAAAGGAGCAAAAGAGAUGAUAAUUAAUAGAAUUGAAAGCAGGUUUGAUCAUCAAGAGAAAAAAACAAACAUUAUGAGGGUAAAAAAGAGAGUAAAUUUAUUUCCUUUGGUGUUUAAGAGUUCAUAGUAACAGGUACUAUCAUUAUUUACUACUUUAUUCAUGCUUUAGUUUGACUUAGUGAAGAAGACUCUUAAAUUUUGAUUAAUUAUGAGAGAAGGUAUUAACAAGAAUUUGAAAAAUUAUAUACUGAUAUUUUAUUUUAUUUUACUUAUAUUGUUAUGAUUAAAGUGUUCAGAAGGAUGUGUAUGUUAUAUUUUUUUAUUUUUUUUGCUUACAUGUAGCCAUAUCAAUAAAAAAGAGUUUUAUGAAGUCAGUAUAUAAACAACAUCUUAAAGCUGUAGUAUGUGUUAUAAAAUAAAAAUAAAAAUUACAUGUGAUUUAACUUCUAAAAUUGGUUCACGAGGGGAGCAUUGUUUAAGUAGGCGUUUGGACAUGCGAUUUCAUCUUGUGAUUUGCAAUCAUGAGAUGAAAUCAGUGUUUGGACAUACAAUUUCACCUCAUGAUUUCAAAUUAUGAGGUGAAAUUCCAAAAAGUUUAAUUUGAAAAUUUCAUAUUAUAAUUUCACAUUAUGCAUAUAUAAAAAUGACCCACAAAUUUAUAUUUUAUAAAAAUCAUUCAUAUAUACCAAUCAUUUAUUUCAUGUAUAAAAAAUUAUAAUUGAUAUUAUUAUUCUUACCAACCUUUAAACCAUCUAUAUCAGAUAUAACCAUUACUCUUACCAAUCAAUUUUUUUUCAUGGAAUAUAAAUAGGAUGAUAUAGCUAUUAAUGAUAUUGAAAAUAAACGACUCAAAGUAACAAUGUUGGAAAACUGAGAUGGAGUACUAAACUUUAAGAAUUUGUAGUAGACAAUACAUAUAAAUAUGCCAUUUAACUUGGGGAUAAGACACUAGUACCCCCUAGACUAUGACCGAAAUCGGGCGUGGGAGAUGUUUGGAGGCCACGUAGGCCAAAAAGGCGUACAAAAUUACAAAAAAAAUAAGUUUAGGAGGUAAUAGGACCUUAGUUUAGUUAAGACGUGUCUCUGAGAUUCCGGUCAUAGUCUAGGGGUACUUAUGCCUUAUCCCUUUAACUUGGCUUCAACUAGCAUUUAUGCCCUUUAACUUUGGAUGUGCAUAAGUAAGCAUUUUAACUUGUAUAAAAUUGAACAAAUAGAUACACGCGGUUUAUAUUUGUAUUGAGUAAAUAAUUUAUAUACUUGAAUUAAUUUUACAGACGCUGCAUAAAAGUAGUAAAGAAGAAAAAUAAUGCACAGAAGAAAAAUCACAUUUUUUUUAAAAAAAAAGGAAAAGGUAGAAGUAACUCCCUAGACUAUGACCCAAAUUUCAGAGACACAAACUAAGGUCCUAUUACCUUCCUGAACUCAUUUUUUUUGUAAAUUUGUACACCUUUUUGCCUUACGUGGCAUUCAAAUAUCUCCCACGUGCCUUAACUGUGUGGAAUCACGGAGUGUGUCACAUAAGCCAAAAAGUGUAUAAUAUUAUAUAUAAAAAGAGUUCAUGGGUAAUAGGACCUUAGUUUAGUUAAGGUGUGUCUCUGAAAUUUCGGUUAUAGUUAGGGAUACUUGUGCCUUCUCCCUAGAAAAAAGAAAAGGCUUUGUAGUAUAUGAAUAACAUUGAGUGUACUAUUUGAGAAAUCAACUCUCAAUUUAUAGGAAAAAAGUAAUUCAUGAAGAAGAUGACUUACAGUGAAACCAACUUGUAAUUUUGUCUUUCUUGUUUAGUAUCUUCAAUUUUGUGAUCCAAUAAUAAAAAGGAGCAAAGGAUAUAUAAUUAAUAUUGAAAGCAGAUUUCAUCAAGAGAAAAAACAAACAUUAUGAGGGAAAAAGGAGAGUACUAAUUCUUAAAAUAGGAUCAUCUGCUAAACAGUUGACGAUGGUAAAAGUUUCAGAAAAUAUCUUAGAAGGGGGAGAAAAGGGAGUCUGGUAAAAAAAAACAUCAAUUAUUGUAAAACUAGUAAAGCACUCAAAAACAUUGGGCUGGUUUUAGGUGGCGGCUAAGAUAUAAAUUAUUUAUAUAUAAUAAUAAUAAUAAUAAUAAUAAUAAUAAUAAUGGAUAGAGCAAGUGGGGNNNNNNNNNNNNNNNNNNNNNNNNNNNNNNNNNNNNNNNNNNNNNNNNNNNNNNNNNNNNNNNNNNNNNNNNNNNNNNNNNNNNNNNNNNNNNNNNNNNNNNNNNNNNNNNNNNNNNNNNNNNNNNNNNNNNNNNNNNNNNNNNNNNNNNNNNNNNNNNNNNNNNNNNNNNNNNNNNNNNNNNNNNNNNNNNNNNNNNNNNNNNNNNNNNNNNNNNNNNNNNNNNNNNNNNNNNNNNNNNNNNNNNNNNNNNNNNNNNNNNNNNNNNNNNNNNAAAAAUCAUCAAAAUUACUUCUCGAUUCAAAUCUCCUACUAAAUAAUGCAUCAUCGUAUAUUUUAUACAUUUACAUAUGAUAUAAAAAUAAAACAUAUAGUGUCUUCAAACUCCUACUUAACUGAUAUCAUAGUUGGUUUUUUAAAAACAAUGAAGAAAAAAACACAAAAUUAGAAUUUAGUGUUAAAAACUUUUAGUGACGAUAUUCUGGGCUUUUGUGGCGACUGUUGUUGCCGCUAAAGGUCUAGUUCUUUUGUAGUGAAUCCUAGUUGGCAACGCUUAGGUGGAAGGAUUAGUCCCACGUGGAUUGCCGCGUCAACAAAAAUUUGGGGUGUUAACUCUUGAGGGUAUUUGUGGUCUCUUAGGAUAACAGCGGGGGUACUAUUUUUGAUCCCAAAAUGUAACGAAUAAUAUAAAUGAUCUAUUUCAUAUAGUUCGGGGCAAUUUUGACCCUUUUCCGUAAAGUUAAUAAUAAUUCGAAAUUGGCCACUUAUAUCUCUACUUGUACAAUACUCGUAUAAAUUACAAAGACCACAAAACAUUUUUUUGGCCCCUAAAAGUUCUUCAAUUCUUUCUAUUACAUUACUAUAUAAUUAUACAAUAUUUUGUAUCUUGAUAUUUCGUUAAAAAUAUUUUUAUUACCACCUUACAUUAUUUUUAGCCUAAAGUUUCACUACCCCACAUAGGUGUAGGGGUAAAGUCUGGUACAUUUUAUCCUCCUUAGACUCCACUUGUGGGACUACACUUAUAUGUUGUUAUUCUUCUUGAAAUAAAUUUAAAAGAAAAUGGUGCUACAUAAAAUGGAACAAAACGAGUAAUAUGUCCCAAGGUGUACUUGUUUAAUUUAUUUAUUUAUUAUUAUUUUAUUUGGGUCGAAGAAAAGAAAACUACAACAUAACUAAUGGAAUAGACUCGUGCUCAAAGAAGCACACCAACCUCUAAUGUAUCAAUUUCUACAAGUGGGAAAAAUGAAUAAAGGAACUCCAACACCACUUUAUUGACUCAUUCAAGUUUGUGUGACAUAAUGAACAUGACUUAGUUCAUACACACAUUAACUUAAGAAACUAAUACGACGAUUAAAGGUCUAAUAGAGUAAUAGUAGACCUAAACCUAACCUAGAGUAGAUUAUAAUUAUUAAAAAAAUUAAUAGAGAAUAAAUUGCCUUAUUUCGAGGUCAAAACAUACACAUAUUGUAUGUCCUAUUCCAAAUCAACAUAUAUUGUUGGCAAAAAAUCAUAGAUUAAGCCACCUUUUUAGUUGAAAGCAGAAUCUAUUUCUAUAUUGCUCGGAUUCUUCAAAAAUGUAGAAGGGUGUGUGCCAGAUCUUUAAAAUAGUACAUUUUUAAAGAAUUGACACGGAUACAAUAACAAUUUUGAAAAGUCCAAGCAACUUAAUUAAAUCGACCAAAAUGAGUUGUAGAGUUUUUGAUAGUUGACAAUAAAAGCAUAGCCUUUCUGUCUCCCCACCUCAUAUCAAAUUAAUUCACACAAGUAGUAUCAUUCUUUCUCCCUUCCCUGCUUCUAAGGAUCUAGGCACCAUUAAUUAUAUUAAUACAAAGGUCAAAUAUUUUUUUUUAAAUCGAAAACAACAAGGAUCAGUGAUGCAUGAUUCACAAUUCAAUGGAUAAUGAAUUCAUCUUUCUGAUCUUCUCCACUUGAAUAUCAAAAUUUUAUCUGAGGCAAAAUUUCAUGAUUUACACUUAACACAUCACACGUUAUACUUUUACCACUAAUAUCAAAUCCCUUACUCCUUAGACUAAAAAGAAUUUAAAUUUGACUCUUAUAACAUUUCUAUUCCAAUAAGGCCUACGUACAUUUCACCCUAUCUAAACUUUACUAGUAAAAAUUUACUUUGUAAUUGUUAGGUAUGUUGUUGACAUGAGGUAACAAACACUCUUAUAUAAUUAACUAGAUACGUAAUUAAUUAGAUACAAGUUGGUUUAAAUAAUAAUAGUUAUAAAAAACUAAAAGGUAACAAAUUUGUUUGAUAUAUAAACUUAGAUGUAUCGUGUCAGGGUCUAUUGAAAUCAACUUUUUAAAUUUUUGCACACUUUAUCGUCCUCAAACCUCCCAAUUACACUGAAUAUAUUAUUAGUUAUAAGCUCAACAAUGUCAAAUUGCGUUGCAUCUGACUCCCUUCUACCCCCACCCCAAACCAACCCCCAAAUCCUAUACCUCCAAAAACUUUUUUAAAAAAAUAUUAAUUAGUGCUAAUGAGAUUCUAUCUUAAAGAAGGAUCCACCAUGAUUAAUGAGUAAUUAAUUAAUACCAGUGGUUUCAUUAGCCAAAUGUUGUGGGCGAUUGGAAAUUUAGCAGACACAUGCAUUCACCUUCCCCAAAUGUGGAACCCACCUUUUGUCACGACCCGAUUUCUCAAGUCAUGAUGGCACCUACUAUAACCCACCAGUAGGUAAGCCAACCCGUAACCCGGAACAACAAGUAAUGGGUCUGAGGGUAGAAACUAAACAAGAGUAGGCAAAUAACAAUAUAAAUAGGCGGAAGCAAACCAAAAACAUAUAUACAAAUAAAGAUCCCUCCCAGAACCUGGAAUUCACUAGUACAGAGAUACUAACAAAAUGAGUACAAGUCCCAAAAGAGGACAACAGAGAAUGGACUGUCUCGAAAGGUAAAAGACAAGUCUAUAUAUACAGAUGGAGACUGAAAUAGUACAAAACGUCGUGUGCUCACUCCCGUCUCCGGAUCAGUCUGCUCCAAGCUCGAUCAACGCUGGCUACUAGUGCCCGGACCUGCAUCACGAAAUAGAUGCAGAGCGUAGCAUGAGUACCAAAACAACAGGUACCCAGUAGGCAUCAUAGGCCGACUGAACUUGAAAAGUAAAGGCAAUAUGAAAAGAAGGAAGAACGGACCCCCAUAAGCUCCACGAGUACACACACUAACUAUAACUAAAGAGAAUUGCAUAAAAGAACCCAAGAACGAAGAACAUCGAACUAGAACCUCAGCCCUAUUUAGUAGAAUCUGACAGUACGGAGGCCGGACCUCGAACCGGAUGCUCCCCAGAAGUACCCAAGUAACCAAUCACAAAUAUCAAGUAUAUGAGGCCGGAACUCUAACCGAAUGCUCUAUAUAGGUAUCUGAGCAAUAGAGGUCGGACCUUAAACCGGAUGCUCUAUAUAAGUAUCUGGGCAAUAGAGACCGGACCUUAAAUCGGAUGCUCUAUAAAGGUGCCAAUGUAGCUGCUGAAAGAGUCCUAAUCGAUCCACACUCAUAAAUAUCCGUGGAAUGCCGUCCAUACUUAGCCAAUCAAUGUAAGUCCUUGGAACCAGAUCAAAAAAUCAAAUUCAAAUCGCGAAGUAGAAUCAGUGUCGCCGACGUAACUCGUAAAGCCGUAACAUAGGGGAAAAUAAGGAUAACUAAAGUCGGAGCAAGCGUAUCGCCUAACUAAGGCCCAAUCUAUCAGACUCAAGUCUGCUACACCAGUCUACAGGGAUCUAAGUCGGCCGAGCGACGUCGGGGCAAAACUAAGGCCUAUUGGAUCCGAAUCAUGUAUUUCUAAGGCAAGCCCUAGUCAAACCUAAACUAAGGCCCAACAUUCUUCAAAUAAACAAUAAUUAAGCAUGCAAGCACUCCACAUAGCGAGGAGGGUCCGUUAAUAACACAAAGCAUGCUCACAUUUACCCGAUAAUUCCCGAAAUAGGCCGAAAACAUGAUUUCUUAACACCUAUGCAAGAUUCAAUAACUACCCAACCCAAAUCCCAACUAAUCAACAUGCAUUCACAUUCUCGAGCUCAAUCUAAGAGAGGGAAACCGUAGCCUACCUGUAGGCCAAUCACACGCGCUCCAAAAUCACUUCUCCGGAGCUUUCCCUUUCUGAACGUCCUCGAAAUGCUGCCCCGCUAUCAAAAAAUAGAAUCAUAACGUUAUUACAGUCGUUUAGACACAAAAAUCACAACAAACGGAGACAAAUCAAUUUUGGAGUCAAAACGGGAAUCGUGGGACCCGCACCGAACUGUCCGAAUUUGACUCCGUCAAGACACCCUAAACAGCACUCCAAACUUGUGGUCCAAAAUGAAACACAAUUUGGGGAUCAAAACGCAUCAACACCCAACAAGCAAGAAAACCACACUUAUAUCAACUUAAAAGAAAACGACAAAAGAUGAGAGAGUUAUGAGAGUUUGAACUUUUGGGAAUUGUUUCUGGUUUUCUGCAUUUAUUGCAGAAAAUCUGCAAUUUCCCAAGACUUAAAACUCCGACGGGGUGCUCCGAACUCGUUCGGAACCCCGUGCACGCAAACGAGAUAUGCAACCAUACCAAAUUCGAUAUUCCAGACUCAACGGCGCAGUCAAAAUUCCAUCAGAGGUCAUUUCGAUAAAAAGUGGGUUCCACUUCCAAAAAGCCCUUUUAAGUCAAAACCAACAAAAGGGCUCGGAAAGAUAUCGAAAACCUCCAGACACAAAAGAAAGGUCAACUUAGACCAAAAUCGACAUUCCGGAGCUAACCGCGCUGACGGAAUUCUCAUCCGAGCGUGUUUACUUAGAAUGUUGACCAAAGUCAAACUUAGGCUUAAACUUAAAGUUAAAACGCCUAAUCGCACUGACUCACACUGAAAACCUCGGGAGUCAUGUCGACCAUGCUACUAGCCUAAAAUGACCCUUCCGGAGCUGAUGAAAUCGUCAGAAUUGGAUUCCGAUGUCAUCUUCUUGAACUGUUGAUCGAAAAUGAUCGUUCAAGGUUCAUAAGCUCCAAAACACAAAAACUCGCACCAAGAUCAAACGAACGACCAGGUGACCGAAUUGUCAGUCCCAGCAAGUCAUAAAUGACUUGGGGUCGCUUUAGGAACGCUCUAAACGACACAUAGAAGGCAAGACACAAAAAUGACCAAGAGGGUCAUUACACCUUUACAUGUCACUAAGAGUUGAGACAGGAUUAAGACCUACCAAUUAGCUCUACUAAUCUCCUAAUUUUCCCUAUUGAUGGAUAAGUUAUUUUUUUAAAAAGGAGCAAUAAUUUGCGGCUGCUUACGUUAUAUACCUUCUAAUUUAGGAAACUAAUUCCAUUUACUCUAAUAAUAAUUUCAAGAUAAAUUCUAAAUCAUUAAGUUGGUUGUUAUUGUUUAUAUUUUAUAAAUGGGAUAUUUAUGAACAUAACUACUAUUUUUAUAUAGAAUUUAAUGUUCUCUUAAUACAUAACUUAUCCACCAUUAAUCUAAUGCUAUAUGUUUCACCUUCUUCUUUUUUUCAAACCAAAAAGUAAACAUAUUAUCACAUUCAUUCUUAAAGAUGAAAGUUAAUGUAUAUGUAAAAUUAUAAGUACAAAGACAAAAAAAAAAAAGAUACACAUGAGCAAGACAAUUAGGUCUUUUUUUUUUUUUUGCUUUUGUCUCUAUAAUGAAAACUAAAACUAACACACCAAGCUCCGAUGCUAACAAAAUAACAAUUCAACUAUAAGAAGAGAGAUAGAAAAGUCUUAUUAUAAUUCUAAUUACUACAAAUAAGUAUAAAACUAACAUACCAAGCUCUGAUGCUUCAGUAGUUGAGUUCUUGUCUAUUAACUCAAUGACUGUAUAAGGGGAUCUCACAACUUUCACCACAAAUUGUGAUAUUAUUUCACCUGUUUAGAGCUCCUACACACAAGAAUUGUAGGCGUAGUAAAUAAAAGUCUUCCUGAAGUUAAAAUUUAUAGGACAAAAAAUUAUGGAAACAAGAAAAGUCACAUGAAAAAAUUGAAAGGUCAAAUACUAUUAAAAUAAAUAUAAUGAUUCUUUCAUUGUCUUUAUAAUAAAUAACUAACAAUUCAAAUAAUAAUUAAAAUACUAUUAUUUAAUAAUUUAUUAAUUAGAUGUUUAAUUUAGCCUAGGGAUAAAAUGGUAAUCUAACUUUUCAUCUUUGAAUUUUUCCACUUUUAGUAAUAUAUGAUAUAUGAUAUAAUGAUAUGAUAUGAUACAUUUCAAAUAUUAAAAGUAGAAUACUACUUUUAAUAUUGCUUCUUAGUUUUUUGUCAAUAUACAAUUGUGGUAGAAAAAGAUAAAUAUCAUAAAGUAAUGUAACAUGAUAGAAUCACGAGUGUAGAUAUUAAAGUGAGAUCAUAAUUCAUGUAUAUUCGACUAUAGUACUAAUUUGUUAGUAUAAUUCUCAUUGGAUCUUGAUUAAGUUAGUGCAGAUUCCAUAUGGCAUUAUUCAUUCAUUAAUCUUUCAGCUUAGUUUUUUUUCAAAAUGAAAUGAUAUAUAUGACAUAUUCAAAUGACCUUAGAACAGAUUAUUGUAUUGUAUUUGAACAGCUUGAGAAACUAUUCACCUCUUAGUUUUUUUCUUUUUGGUAAUUUUAAUUAUGUAUUUUCAAUUAUUUUAUUACUAGUAAAAUUACCCGCGCUUCGCGCGGGAAUUUAAUAUCACGGAAUAUAUAAAAAAACUACUUAAAACCUAUUAGUCACUAAAACUAAAACACUAUAUUAUCUUACAUAAAAGAUUAAUAAUGUAAAGGAAAAUGAAAAUGAUUACAUCUUAUCAUUUAUCUUUAAUAACAUAAGCAUAAAUUAAUGAUUGUAAAAAUACAUAUCAGGAUAUGUAACAUAAGCAAUGGUGUCACUGAGCCACUCAACAUGAGUAAAGUACACAAAUAUUUAAUUGUGAAGAAGGAGGAGGAGGAGGAGGAGGAGAGAAGAGGAGGAGAGAAGAAGAGGAGAAGAGGAAGAAGAAGAAGAAGAAAAGGGUCAGAAUUUUUGGUGUUUUAAAAUGAGAGGAAAUCCUUCUAUUUAUAGAUAAUAAAUGGUAGUCUGAACAAAUAUUUAUUGUGCCUUAUCCGAAAGGUUACAACUAUUUGAAAAAGUUGCAACCCUUCAGAAAGGUCACAACCUUUCAUAAAAAGUCACAACUUUUCAUAAAAGUCGCAACUCUUCAUUAAAGUCGCAACUCUUCGUUUAAGUCGAAAAUUUUCAUAAAAGUCACAACUUUUCAUAAAAGUCGCAAGUUUUCAUUAAAGUCGCAAAGUUGCAACCCUUCAGAAAGGGAAGACUAGUUUUGGAAAUAAAAUAAAUUAAAAGGGAAUCAUGGCUUGUGGUGGUGCCACAUAGGCGGGUCUAGGGUUCUCUUUUAUAUAUGAUAUAUGAUUUUUAUAUUUUAAUAUUAUUUAUAUCAGUUAAAAAAUUUAUAUACCGAUCAACGUGGAAACUAGUAUAUAUAUAGAUAUCAAAAAUUUCAAUAGAAGGCUAACACAAUGAUUUGACAGGAACUUAGUAAUAGUAGUGCAGAAAUUGGCUAAUGGUCAAGUAAAAACAUGUCUUCUUCAUGAUAUGUUUCACCAGUUGUGCAGAAACUAAUGUAGUUAAUUAAAAAGAAUAAUCUGAUGAAGCCUAAAUUUAUUUUAUAAAUAUAUGAGCAAAUCUGAAGAUUCAAAAAUUAGAGAAGUCCAUAAUUCAUGAGAGUUGCGAAAACCAGGUGACCUAUUUGAUGUUGUUCAAAAGAUUUGACUUCCAUUCGAUGGCAUAAAUUUAUUUUAUAAAUAUACUGAAAAUAGUUUAAAUAUACCCUCAUUAUACUUUUGGAUAAAUAUACCCCACCAGUUAUACUUUUAGCACAUAUUUACCCUUAUAACUAAUAGAGGGACGGAGGACAAGGAUUAAAAGAACUCAUCCAAUUUAACCAUACCCAGUUAUAAGCAAAUUUGAAGGUGCUGCAUACAAUCUUAUAUUAUCACAAUCUUGUAAAUGUGUAAGAUGAAAAGGAUUAUAGAAAUUAACAGGGAAAACAAUCACCAAAUUAUGAAACAAUGAUUUGAUAGUGAUCCAAGAUCCAGCUGAUCCAACCAUCUGAUGCAUUUUUGCCGAGCCACACAAAAGACUGUCUGUGCUUCUAAAAAAACUGAACAUUACCGUUGAUUCACAGCUUCCUUAUGUUUCCAGAACGAUCCUGUAUUGAACAUAUUGUUUGCACAUUAGGGGUGCGUAGAUACUCAAAAGCAGAACAUUAAGAGUUUGUUUCUACUUACUUCGGCAAUGAUGACAAUACGGUCGUUUCCUUCAUUCUCUUCUACUUCUUGCUUAAUUCUCACAGCUGAAGCCUCCUGAGAUUUGUUGUUGCACCUAAUCAACCUAAUCGGUUUCAAUGUUGGAAUAUCUGCAAGGCUAAGGGGGAUCUCCUCAAGAUUGUCACACUUUUUUAUGACAAGUUUUUCAAGCAGGGGAAAGGAUUCCUCCGAGGCAUCCCACCUUGAGAUAUCUAACCACACCAGUUUCAACAACUUAAGCUUAUCGAACGUGAUAUCUUGAAGGUACCACCCUUCUAAAUAAGUAUAAAUCCAUUUUACAAAAUCCACAUCUUCUAAUUGGAGAUACUCCAGGCUUGGUAGUCCCGCAAUGAAGUAAAUCGCGCUCUCCAUAAAACAACCUCCCUUAAGUACCAACUUCUUUAUAUUUGAAGGCAAGUGCAACUCGGACACAAACGACUCAAUGGUAAGGUGAAGUAUUUGAAGCUGGGUAAGACUCUCCAAUAUGAGACAAGUAUCUUCUACAAACCCAUCCACCCUCACAAAAGUGAUUUCGAGUUGUUGAAGAUUAGGACACCUCCUUAAUAACACAUCCACCCUAUCAACUUCCAAAAUUGUAAAUCUAACGUGCCUUAGAAUCCUCAAAUUUUCCAAUUUAGAGGAUCCUUCAAAGAUCCUCUGCCUAUCCUCUCCCAAAUCAAAUUUAGCAUUAGCAAUCUCAACAUGCCUUAAUUUUUCCAUUUCCCAAAAUGAAGCUGGUAAUAGUACCGUAGCAUUACUCUUCACAAUUAAAGUUUCUAUAUGGGGCAGAUGAGUUUCUGGAUGAAAAUAGAAUAUAUUUGCCCACACUGAGAGGUACUGAAGGUGAUUUGGUGGUUCAAAUGUAGCUGUUGACAAAUAAAGCACUUCAUGGGAACUCAAAUCCAAGAUCUUAAGAAGUCUCAAUUCACUAACCUGACGGAAGGGAAUCCCGUCAAAAGAUUUUCCUUGAUUGGUCGUAAUCAGUGACCUCAAGUGUUGGUGGAAAGGCUUCCGUGUUUUGGAGCCCAGAGAUGCAAACUUGGAAAGCUCUUUACUGAAACUGAAUCUCACUCGACUUCCCUUCCAAUCCAAAGGUUGCAACUGGCUAUCAUGCCCCUUGACUGCCAACAUAAAUUUCUCUUCUCUACUCUUCUCCAAGCAAAAUUGAAACACAACAUCAUGAACCUGACAAAUUUUGACUUUUUCAUUGUAACUUUUCAUUGAAACCAUUACCACAUUACUACUAAUGAGAUCCAUCAAGUAAUCUUCAGCAAAUUCAAUGUUCUGCACGAAUCCUUCCGCAACCCAUAGACUUAUCAAUGUGGACACUCGAAUUCUUGCAUCCUCAGGAAACAUCCCCAUAUAAAGAAGACAAGGCUUUAAACAAUCAGGUAAGUAAUCAAAACUCAACUGCAUAGUCGCAUGACUAUUUUCUUCCGACUCACGAUCAAGAUAGUCAAAUAAAGCAUCCUUAACCUCAUUCCACCAAGAUUCUUCAGAUUUUCUUUUUUUGAUUACUCCUGCUACCAAGACAACCACAAGAGGCAAUCCUUUGCAUUUUUUUUUGCAAUUUCUAGACUCACAUAUUGUAGUUCAGGUGGGCAACCUUCCUGCUGAAAUACUUUUCUCUGCAACAAUUGGAAACUCUGUUCUGUUGUGAGGAAUGGAAGAGAAUAAGGAUCAGUAUGGUACUUGACUUUCUUACCCACAUUCUCAAGUCGGGUUGUUAUUACUAUCCUGCUUCUCUUUCCAACGUCUGGAAAACAAUGCCUUAAGUCAUCCCAUGCCAUACAAUCCCACAUAUCAUCCAAUACAAUGAGAUAUCUCUUUCCCAGUAGACUUUUCCUCAACAUGUCAGCAAGGAUGUCAUCUGUAUCUCCCUUGUCCUUGGAACAGGUAACUUGACUAAAAAUCUCUUGUAAUAGCUUUCUCCGGUUAUAUGUUUGGGAAACGAUGCACCAUGCUCGAACAUCAAAAUGAGAAACAAUGUUGUCACUAUUGUACACCUUUCUAGCAAUUGUCGUUUUCCCUUGUCCCCCCAUGCCUACAAUUGGGACGACGUCUAGCUCAUUUGUACCUCUAAUCAGAAACUGAAUCAUUCUUUCUGUGUCUUUCCCAAAACCCACUAUCUCCUCAUCAAUCACUGGAUUGUUAUGUUGAGUUGGCAGGUGUUUAAAUGGUGCUACCACAUAGCAAGGCUUAAGAGCAACGUCUGCUGACCACAUCUCAGUCACCUCCGCAUUAAUUUGCUUGAUCUCUUUUAAGAUUGAAGGAAGUGAGCAAAAAAUAUGCAAAAAAGAAUUAUACUGAGAAAGAAUAGAGUCAAUGGCAACCUCAAAUUCAUAUGCCAAAUUGAUGGUACGUCUAUGAAGAACUUUAGAAAUUUUAUGUUUAUGGUGCACCUUUGCGACAUUUAUGAAAAUGAAUGACAGCUCCUUCUCUAAAAUGGAUGUAAGAGAUGAUAGCUCUUUCUCCAAAUUACCUAAAAGAGGUUUCAUCAGAAAAUCUAAACCAGAUUUAGAUUUUGUCAUCUCAUUAAGUUUCCUUGAAAGAGAAUCCAGAAAGCUCGAUCCACCAAAGGUGGAGAACUGAGAUGGAGUGAAUUUUAAGGAUUUGUAGUACGUCUCCACUUGUGCCUUCAGAUCUUUAGUUUUCUCCAAUAUCUGUAACGAGCAAAGACUUAUUUUGCUAGUGUCAUCUUUGUUUAUAGAGCUAGGAAGAAGUUUUUGGAUCACAUAUACAACAUCACCCGCUAUAGCUCCAACUUUUUCCAUAACCUCAUUCAACCAGUUACCAUUACUAACAUGAUUUGACAAAUCAGCAUCAAGGAAAACCAACAAGAACUCUAUUGCCACAUCAAUAUUUUGAGCAGAGAUAUUAUCAGGAAAAUUCUCGAGCUUUUUGUUUCUGAGAUACAUUAGCAGACUGUGGAGAUGAUGUGAAAAUUCUUUUGGCAAUUUCUUGUCCUUGAAUGUUUUUGAUUGAAUAAAAGUUUGAAGCCUUUAGUUCAUUGAGAAAAAUCUUCUUCAUUUCCAGCUCCACUAACACAAUCAAGCAUAUUAGAUAAGAAGGUUUAUUCAAGAUACCACACCCAUAUGGUUCGACCUCAUCUUUAUGUGUAUUAUCUACAAAAUCAGCAACAACGUUAACUGUAACAGAAAGACAAAGUUGUCCCACAUUGCUAGCCAUGAACUGAAUUCGAGUCUCCAAACAUUCCAGCUUCUCAUCGUCAACGUAACUAUUUAUCUCUGUGGCAUAUAAGUAUCUCAAAAAUUUCAUUUUCUUAUGAACAAUUUUCAGUUGCAUUAUAAAUCUGAAUAUUGCAAGGUUUUCUUCAGGAGGGUCAUACCUAACCCUUUCCAAGAACAUCAUUAUCAUAUCAUUUAGAUUCUUUCCGAGGCAAUCCAUAUAUUCUGACAGAUCAAAAUCAUUCAACUCAUAAUUGUAACUAAAAUUGGUAUUACCUUCAAAGAAUUCCAACAAAUGUGGUACUUGCCUUUCCCUAAUCAACUCAUAACUAUACUUAUCUACUUUGAUAUAUGAAGUCCCUUGGAAUACCCUUCGAAGCAUUCUUACAAUCGAUUUGGCAUUCUUUGUGAGUUUGACUGAGGAAUCAGAAAAAAGAACACGAUGACACUUUAUAAAGGUUCUUAAAACUCUUAGCACCAUUUCAAGUUUCUCAAUUCGAUUAAUCCUGAGGCUACUCUGGGAACCGUUACUCUUCAUCCUUCUUAGGUUAGCUAACAUUUCCUCAAUUUCAUUUUGAGCCAUUUUCUGUUUACAAAUUCCUGCAAGUUAUUCAACUCCUGGAAUUAGGAUCAUUAAGAGCAACAUUUUUAUUCAUGUCUUUCAAUAUCUUAAUGCUUGUGAAAGAUUAUACAUCUCAUGUAUCAUUUCAUCAAACAAAUGAUGUAUAUUUAUCUUUUUCAUAUGGUCACUUAACUAAUAAUUAUUAUCUCAUAAAAUCACUUAACUAAUUCUUUUGAAUGGGCCAUUUGAAAAAAUAAUAAUCCAACUCUCUAUCUAUAGGAAAAAAGUAAUUCAUGAAGAAGAUGACUUAUACAGUUAGUUAAUAAGUGAAACCAACAUUAAAAGUUGUAUCUUCAAUUUUCUGAUCCAGUCAUUAAAAGGAACAAAUAUGAUUAUAAUUAACGGCUCUUGGAAUUUGGGUCGUAACACAAUCUUGUCUCCUACUAUCGAGUAAAUGAAGAACAAAAAAGGACAAUACAACAAUAACAAAGUUCAAAAGUUUUAGUGCAUAGUAAAAUAUUAUGUCGAUGAGCUUAAAUCUAAGACUCUUAUCAAAACCUUCGAGUUUUCUAUGCUGUGAAAAUUUGUAAAUUUGUGAGGUUUGCUUAUAUUCAACAAGAAAUUUUUUUUGUAGUUGAGUUAAUUUUGCAACUCUAACUUGUCAUGGCAAAGAGACAACCUCAACCUCAGUGAAGAAAGUUUCCUGUUUCUCCGAUGUUAGCUAGAGAGUCUGUUAUAAGACAACGACUAAUAAAACCAAUAAUAACAAAAAGAAAGAGUCAAUUUGAAUUAUCACAUCCAACAUAAAAAUCUCUAAAGAUGUUGAGGUUUCCUUUGAGUUUUUCAUGAACGUAGGCCCGUAAUACAAACUAAAUGGGGUCUUUCUUAGUACUCUAAAAGACAUGAAGAAACUUGCUCACUUCAGAAUAUCAAGACAUGGAUGUGAAGGAACUGCCAAAAAUAGUAUGUGAAUCUAUUGACAGAGAAGGCAAAUGUUUCAUUGUGCUGGAUAAUGUGUGGAUGCAAGCCGUCAUGAACUUGCUGCAGUAGUCAAAUUCAAACAAAUCCUCGUGAGUUUAAGAGCAAUUAAGGGAAAACAAGCAUCAAUUAAAAAAGGCAAACUGAAACAAUACCAUUGUUGUGGUUACAGGCACAUACUUGAUUCACCAAUCCUGUAUUGAACAUAUUGUUUGAACAUUAGAUACUCAAAAACAGAACAUAUUUAGGAGUUUGUUUCUACUUACUGUGAUAAUGAGGUCAAUACGGUCGCAUCCUUCAAUAUCUUUGACUUCUUCCUUGAUUCUCACUGCUGAAGCCUCCAGAGAUUUGUUUUCACACCAAAUCAACUUAAUCUGUUUCAGUGUUAGAAUAUCUGCAAAGGUAAGGGGGAUCUCCUUGAGGUGGUCACACCUUUCUAUAACAAGUGUUUUGAGCUGGGGAAAGGAUUCCUCCGAGGCAUCCCACCUUGAGAUAUUUAAGCGCGACAGUUUCAAGCACUUAAGGUUAUGGAAUGUGAUAUCUCCAAGGCACCAAUCUCUGCUUUGAAAAAAAUUGUACGGUUCCAAUAAUUGGAGAUACUCUAGGCUUGGUAGUCCCGCAAUGAAGGAAACCAGGUUUUCUAUAUCAAUCCCACAUAGUACCAACUUCUUUAAAUUUGAAGGCAAUUGUAACCCAGAUAUAAUGUUGGGCCUCUCAAUGUAAAGGAAAAGAUAUUGAAGCUGGGUAAGAUUCUCCAAUGUGAGACAAAAUAAAUCUGCCGAAUUUUUACUGCCCCAAUAUUCAAAAUCGAUGUUCAGUUUUUGAAGAUUAGGACACCUCCUUGAUAACACAUCCACCUUAUCCCCUUCAUCAAUUCGAAAUUUUACAUACUUCAAUAUCCUCAAAUUUUCCAAUUCAGAGGAUCCUUCAAAGAGCCCCGGAUUAUCCUCUUCCAAAUCAAAUUUAGCAUUCCAAAUCUUAACAUGCCUUAAUUUUUCCAUCUCCCAAAAAGACGCUGGUAACUGUACAUUAUCCAAAUAACUAUUUACAAUUAAAGUUUCAAGACUGGGCAGAUGUGAUUCUGGAUGAAAAUAGAAUUUCUUUGCACAAACUGCGAGGUAUUUCAGGUGAUUUAGUGGUUUAAAUGUAGCUGACGACAAAUAACCCACUUCAUGGGAAGUCAAAUCCAAGACCUUAAGAAGUCGCAAUUUAAGAAUCUGACAGAAGGGAAUCCCAUCAAUUAACUCUAGGUCAUUUAUCGCUAUCAGUGACCUCAAGUGUUGGUGGAAAGGCUUCCGUGUUUUGGAUACUAGAGAUGCAAACUUGGAAACCUCUUUAAUGAAACUGAAGCUCACUCGACUUUCCUUCCAUUCAAAAGGUUGAAACUGGCUAUAAUGCCCCUUCACUGCCAACAUAAACUUUUCUUCUCGACUCUUCUCCAAGCAAAAGUGAAGCACUACAUCAUGAACCUGACAGUAUUUGACCUUACCAUUAUAACUUCUUUUUGAAACCAUUACCACAUUACUGUGAAUGAGAUCCAUCAAGUAACCUUCAGCUGCCUCUUCCAUCAAUCUCCCAGAUUCAAUGUUCUGCACGAGUCCUUCCGCAAUCCAUAGACUUAUCAAUUCAGAUACUGGAAUUAUUGCAUCCUCCUGAAACAUCCCCAUAUAAAGAAGACAAGGCUUUAAACAGUCGGUUAAGUUAUAGUAACUCAACUGCAUAGUUGAAAGACUAUAUCCUUCCGACUCACAAUCAAGAUAGUCAAAUAAAGAAUCUUUCACCUCAUUCCACCAAGAUUCUUCCAUUUUCCUUUUUUUGAUUAUUCCAGCUACCAAGACAACCACUAGAGGCAAUCCUUUGCAUGUUUCUGCAACUGCUUGACUCACAUCUUGUAGUUCAGGUGGGCAAUCUUCCUCUGGAAACACUUUUUUCUGCAAUAAUUGGCAACUCUCUUCUGUUGUGAGGAACCGAAGAGAAUAAGGAUCAGUAUGGUACUUGACUUGCUCGCCCACUUUCUCAAGUCGAGUUGUUACUACUAUUCUGCUUCUAUUUCUGAAAUCUGGAAAAGAAAGCCUCAAGUCAUCCCAUGCCAUAUAAUCCCACAUAUCAUCCAAAACAAUGAGAUAUCUCUUGCCCAUUAAGCUUUUCCUCAACUCAUCAGCAAGGAUGUCAUCCUUGUCUCCCUUGUCCUUGGAACCGGUAACUUGACUCAAAAUCUCUUGUAAUAGCUUUCUCCGGUUAUAUGUUUGAGAAACGAUGCACCAUGCUCGAACAUCAAAAUGACAAACAAUGUUGUCAAUAUUGUACACCUUUCUAGCAAUUGUUGUUUUACCUUGUCCCCCCAUGCCUACAAUGGGGAUUACGUCUAGCUCAUUUGCACCUCUAAUCAGAUACUUAAUCAUUAUUUCUGUGUCAUUCUCAAAACCCACUAUCUCCUCAUCAGUCACUAGAUUGCUACGUUGAGUUGGCUGGUGUUUAAAUGGUGCUACUGCAUAGCAAGGCUUAAGAGCAACUUCUGUUGACCACAUCUCAGUCACCUGCACAUUAAUUUGCUUGAUCUCUUUUAAGAUUGUAGGAAGUGAGCAAAAAAUAUGCCAAAACAGAUUGUUGUGAGCAAGAAUAGAGUCAAUGGCAACUUCAGCUUCAUGUGCCAAAUUGAUAGUACGCCUGUGAAGAUCUUGAAGAAUUUCAUGUUCAUGGUGCACCUCGACGACAUCUCUGAAAAUGGAUGAUAAAGAUGACAGAUCCUUCUCUAAAAUGGAUGUAAGAGUUGAUAGCUCUUUCUCCAAAUUCCCCAAAAGAGAUUUCAUCAGGAAAUCUAAACUAAAUUUACAUUUCGACAUCUCAUUCAGUUUCCGUAUAAUAGAAUCCAGAAAGGUCCAUCCACCAACAGUAGGAAGCUGAGAUGGAGUAAACGUUAAGGAUUUGUAGUAAGUUUCCACUUGUGCCUUCAGAUCUUCAGUUUUCUCCAAUAUCUGUAUCGAGCAACGACUUAUUUUGCUAGUGUCAUCUUUGUUUAUAGAGCUAGGAAGAAGCUUUUCUAUGACAUAUAGAGCAUAACCUGCUAUAACUCCAACUUUUUCCAUAACCUCAUUCAACCAGUUACCAUUAAUAACAUGAUUUGACACAUCAGCAUCAAGGAAGACCAACAAGAACUCUAUUGCCACAUCAAUAUUUUGAGCAGAGACAUCAUCAGGAAAGUUUUCGAGCUUUUCUUUUCUGAGAUACAUUAACAAUUUGUGGAGAUGAUGAGAAAAUCCUUUUGGUAAUUUCUUGUCUUUGAAAGUUCUUGAAUUAGUAAACUUUGAAGCCUUUAGUUCACUAAGAAAAAUCUUCUUCAUUUCCAGCUCCACUAACACAAUCAAGAAUAAUAGAUAAGGAGGUGUAUUCAAGAGAUCCUCAUACUCAUCCACAUCCUCAUCCUCAUCUAUAUCAUUUACAAGAUUAGACAAAGCAAGACACAAAUGUCCCACAUUGUUAGCCAUGAACUGAAUUCGAGUCUCCAAACAUUCCAGCUUCUCAUGGUUGACGUAACCAUUUAUCUCUGUAGCAUAUAAAUAUGUCAAAAAUCUCAGUUUCUUUUGAACAACUUUCAGUUCCUUUAAAAAUCUGUGUAUUUCAUGGUUUUCUUCAGGAGGGUCAGACCUAGCCCUUUCCAGGCCGAACAACAGUACAUCAUUUAGAUUCUUUCCGGCGUAAUCCAUACAUUCCGACAUAUCAAAAUCAUUCAACUCAUAAUUGUAACUUAAAAUGGUAUUACGUUCCAAGAAUUCCAACAAAUGUGAUUCUAGCCUUUCUAGAUUAAGGUUAGUUUUACAUUCAUCUGGAAUCCCAUCCAAUACCCAGUUAAGCACUGCCAUAGUCGAUUUGGCAUUCUUUGUGUGUUUGACUAAGGACUCACGAAAAAGAACAUGAUGAUACUUUAUAAAGGUUCUCAAAAUUCUUAGCAUCAUUUCAAGUCCCUUAAUUUGAUCAAUCUUGGUGCUAUCCAGAUUACCUCCACUCUUGAUCCUUCUUAGGUGAUUUAACAUUUCCUCAAUUUCAUUUUCAGCCAUCUUCUCUUGAAAAAUUCCUGCAAGUUCACCAACUCUUGGAAUUAGGUUCAUUAACAACAUAUUUAUUCAUGUCUUUCAUAUCUAGUGUUUAUAGCUAUAUAAGUUGAUGCUUGAGAAAGAUAGUACAUUUUAUGUACCAUUUUCAUCUAACAAAUGGUGCAUGUUAUCAAAGAAAAUCAUAUUUCACUCACUUUCAUAUGGUCACUCAACUACUAGUCAUUUUCUUUAGACAAAAGAAAACUAAUAUCAAUGUGUGACGCUAAUGAUGGAGUGCGGACCUCUAAGAGUUGGUCAAAGAAAAGGAUUGACAAGCAUUUAGGUUGGCAAAGAUGUUAGUUGAAAUCACACAUAGGAAUUGCCCAAAUAGGGGAAGAAAAUAAUAAAAAAAAAAAGUUACAAAUACGUAACACAAGUUCACUACACUUUUGAGAUCGACGAUGCAUAUCCCAAAAGCUUGGCUCUGACAAGAUGGUCAUUAUCAUUGCUUAUUUUUAGAUCUCAAGAGCAUCAAAUGUGUGUCUAAACUGUGAUACAAGUCGAGAAAUUAAAACAAGUUUCAUCUAAAAGAGGGAAAAUGAUUUUCCUCACUUAUAAAAGGGAAUCAUUUUCCUUACAAUUGUCGUAGCUUUUAUAUUCACAACACUUGCUUUAACUAAUACUUAGGUAUUAUAAUAUACUAGUAUUUAGGCACACGUGUUGUAUGUGCACCCCAUGAUAAUGGGUAUGAACUAUUAAAAAAUCACAUAAAAAUUCUUUAAAAUUGUGUUUGAGUUAACAGUAAUGUUAAAGAAGAUAGAAGAAAAACUGGCAUGAGAAAGGGGACUUUUCCUUUUACUUACCUUGGAUACCCGAUUUUCUAUGGUAGGAAGAAGAUAGUAUUUUUUGAAGACCUGGUGAAGAAAGUUAUGAAAAGGAUGAUGUCUUGGCAAAAUAAACUCUUAUCUUUUGGAGGAAGAUAUAUUUUGAUAUCACAUGUUUUGCAGUCGAUACCUGUAUAUCUCCUAUCAGCCAUGAAUCCCCCUAAAAGAGUUAUAGAACAUAUUCAUAAAAAUUUUGCAACUUUCUUCUGGGGUAAUACAUCAAGUCCGAAAAGAAAACAUUGGGUUGCCUGGGAAGCUAUGUGUUUACCUAAAAUUGAAGGAGGCUUAGGGUUUGGAUCACUACAUGAUACAUCAAAGGCGUUGUUUGGCAAACUAUGGUGGAAUCUAAGGACAACUAGAUCACUAUGGAGUGCUUAUAUGGUAAACAAAUACAACAAGAAAUUUCACCCUGCCAUAGCUCAAGCAAAAGGUAGUUCACUUGUUUGGAAAAAGAUGGUGGAAGUUAGAGAAGAACUAGAACAUUUGAUUUGGUGGCAACUUAAGGCUGGAAAUUCUAGCUUCUGGUUUGUUAAUUGGACUAAGCAGGGGGGCCUUUAUUUCGUGGACAAUGAAAAGUAUUGGAUGAGGAGGCAGAAGUGAAACAAUUCAUUACAAAUGGCUAUUGGAAUGUGCAGAAACUACAGGAAGUCUUAUCAGUAGGUAUGGUGCAGCAUAUACUUGAUAACAUCAGCCCACAACUAGUCAAUGUAGAUAAUGACACAUCAUGGUGGAUGGGAAAUUCAAAUGGAAAGUUCACAGUCAAAUCAGCAUGGAAUGAAUUAAGACGGAAGCAGGAGAAAAUACAGACCUUUGACUAUAUUUGGACUAAAGGGUUGCCUAUAAAGAUUAAUUUCUUUUUAUGGAGAGCAUGGAAAGGAAGAAUACCUACUGACGAUAAUCUAAAAAGGAUGAAAAUUAGUGUGGUAUCAAGAUGUUGGUGUUGUGAGGAUCAUAAAAUAGAAACCAUGUCACAUAUUUUUCUAACAUCUCCAAUAGCUACUAAGCUAUGGAGACAGUUUUCUUCUUGUGCAGGUUAUAACAUUGAAGGAUUGCAACUGCAACAAGUCAUAUGUAAGUGGUGGACAACUAAUCAACCCCCACAGCAUUUUCAAAGCCAUCCCAGCAAUCAUUAUGGAAGAGAAGGAAUUCUAGGAAGCAUGGAGGAGAUACUACAUAUAAUAGAAUGGUAUCUCCUCUGUUCCAAAAGAUUGGCCAUCAAUGAUACAAGUGCUAAGUAAUUACAGACCAAGACUAUAUCAUUGUUUGACACAUUGGAAGAAACCAGAAACAGGCAGAAUAAAGAUAAAUACUGAUGGAGCAAGCAAAGGGAAUCCAGGAUUGAGCUUGUAACAUCCGACAAUUUAAAAUGAAUAUGAAGAAGCUUGAAAUUGGAAGUAGUCACUUUUGGAAAAAGUCCAGAAUCUGGAAAUUUGGCUAAGUUCAAAAUCUGGAAAUUUGGCUAAGUGUGGAAAUCAGUGAGUUUUUUGCCAACUUUGAGCAGUCAUAACUCCUAGCUCAGGAUGAUCCAGGAGUAUUUCCAGCUAUUUUUGGAAAGUCCCUUGGAACGAUCUUUCCAACUCCACUGAGUUUUACUCGAUUCCGAGUUCGUAUGAGCGAGUUAUACCCUUUGAAAGUUGGGCAGUUGGCAGGGAGUCCGUCCGGAAAAUUUAAGGGCAUUUUGGUCUUUUCCCUAGCCAUUUUCUUUUGGGAUUAUAUUGGGUGUUAGGCUUAUUUUGGAUCAUUUUUGUCCCAUUUUAAAAGAGAAAGAGUUAGGGUUCUUGAGAGUGAAGAAGAGAAGAAGAAGAGAAGAAGGAGAAGAAGAAGAGAAGAAAGAAGAGAUCAACAAGUUUCCGUCAAAGAUCACCGUGGAUUUUCGUCGGGGGUGAUCCCUUUCAAGGUAUGCGAGUCUUUAGUGUGGGUUCAUCCUUUCCCCCACACACCAAACUCAUUUUUAUGAUUUGAGAAAAGAUUGGAUUGUGUUGUUGAAGUUAUUAGUUGUUGUUGAUGUUGUUGAUUGUGAUGUUGAAGCUAUUGUUGAUUGGGACAUGUUUUCCGGUUGUGUUUUUGAGUUAUAAUCUCUUGUAUGUUGAGAGAUUUUAUGAUCCUUAGUGCUGGUUGGUUCAUACCCCCACACACCAACUCAUUUUUAACUCCAAGAAAAGAUUUAUUUUGGUUGUUGAAGUUGUUAGCUGUGUUGUUGAAGUUCUUGCUGAUUUGGGACAGGAUUUGGUUGUGUUUUUAGUGGAAUCCACUGUAUGUUGAGGGGUUUAUGACCCCAAGUGUUUGGGAAAAGAACCUUUGAAGUUAAGAGGGUUAGAGUUAGCAACAUGAAGGAGAGAAGUUAGGCUGCUUUCAGGAAACAAGUCUGCGUCGCGGCUGUGUUCCCUCUGUGAACCAAAUCUGCUCUGUUUUCAGAAAUUUAAUUUCGUAAUUCUUCUUAAGUUUAGCUGUCCUAUAUUAUUCCUAAACAUCAUGGAGUCCUUCCAAACACAAAUCAUUACCCUUGAGUUCAUAAUCCAAUUCAAGGAGAGUUAGUUCCAAGUCAAGUAAAGUUAGAAGUCAAAUGAAGUUAAGAGUUGCGGGCCAGUUUUUCAGAAAAAGAGUUAUCGUUUUCUAAAUGAAGCAAGGUUGGAAACUGAGAUUUCCAAAGGAGCCUUCGGGCCAGAUUUUCAGAAAAAGAGUUAUGUUUCUACAUUUAAGCAAGGUUGGAAACUGAGAUUUCCAAAGGAGCCUUCGGGCCAGAUUUUCAGAAAAAGAGUUAUGUUUCUACAUUUAAGCAAGGUUGGAAACUGAGAUUUCCAAAGGAGCCUUCGGGCCAGAUUUUCAGAAAAAGAGUUAUGUUUCUACAUUUAAGCAAGGUUGGAAACUGAGAUUUCCAAAAGAGCCUUCGGGCAAGUUUUUGAGUAAUUAUCUCAUAUCAGCAGGAAUAAAUAUGUUUUUAAAACAUAAGAGCCAGUACUUUUUUUUUGGGAGUAGUAUCGAGCACCGAAUUGGGGGAGCGUUCAAAGAACCCACAGCCCCCAUAGAACCAUGUUAGCCACCAUGGGUAGAAAAGGAUCAUACUCUUUAGAUGAAUCCUUUUCAUAUUAGACUAGUGGAUCCAUUAGGCAGUUCAGGUCCUAUACCUUUGGCCGGGAAUAGGAUGCUCUGGCAGCGUGAGGUCGAUCGCUGUAUCAUCACUAUAGCUCUUAUGUGAUGGUUGUCGGUUAGAGAAACUCCCACAGCAGUUAUUGUAUUUUCAUACACAUACAUUAUUGUAUUUUUUAUAUACAUCAAUUCAUUGUAUUUCUAUAUACAUCUCAGGCUUAUUGUCUUUGUACACAUACAGUGUUUAUAGCAUGUUUUAAGCAGUCUUUCUUUAUAUCGCACUUGUUUUAGAUUGCCUUAUAUUGAAAGAAGUCAGUCAGGUUGAGUUGAGUUGAGCAAGGUAAGCUUUUCAGUUUCUUCCUAGAUUCCUUCUAGCCUAUGUUGCUUAGUUUUCCUAGCUCGCAUACUCGUACAUUCCAUGUACUGAUGCCAGUUGGCCUGCAUCGUCUUAUGAUGCAGAUACAGGUACCCCGGAUCAGCAUCCUGCACGUCAUUGAUCCAGCUGAGCACUCCAGAGUCAGUGGUGAGCCUCCUUACAUUCCGGAGGACUCAAUCAUUUUGUGUACUUAAUAUUGUUCUAUUAGGAUGUUGCGGGGUCUGUCCCAACAUCUAUCUCAGUAUAUUAGAGGCUUCAUAGACUGACAGUCAGUCAGUUAGUUUUGAGUCUCUCAUCUAUGUAUAUAUGCAAAUAUUCUAUUUUGAGAUUCGAGUUGUCUUUAUGGCCAUAUUUUAUAAGUUAAGUUGUUUUGUAAUAUUGCAUUGCAUUGAGUUAUUAUGUUGGGUUAGGUUUCCGCUGAGUUAAGAAAGUCAGGCCAAGGGUUCGCUUGGGCCAGAAAUGGUCUCCGGGUGCCGGUCCCGCCCAGGGUGUAGGCUCGAGGCGUGACAGAGCUCUUACAGGUUCUGCCUAAGGAAUGAUAGAGGAGAUCUAUUGUAUGCAGAGGCAGGACAAAUAGGGGAAAACACCAAUAUGAUUGCAGAAACCAUAGUAGCACAAAAGGCAGUGCAUUGUUGUUUAUCAAGAGAUAUACAUAAUGCAAGAAUAGAAACAUGAGAUUCUUUAAUACUAAAGAACAUCAUCCAGGAAGUGUGGAAAGUGCCAUGGGAAAUAGUACAACAGGUGGAAGAAAUAAAGAAUACAAUGCAACAACUACUGAUGGAAAUUACACACACAUACAGGAAGCAAAUCAGUUAGAUGACUAUAUUACAAGCAUUGCACUUGAACAAGACAACCCAGUCCAUUACCACAGUUUUCAAGAUCUCCCCACCAAAGGACGGAAGAUAUUGAAUUCGGAUAAAUCACAAAUUCCAAUCCUCAGAAUCAGAACUAGAAAGAUUACACAGUCCUAAACAAGACCAAGCAACAAAUGGGGGCUAGAUCAAGAGGAAAUACAACAAGAACAAAGUCAGUCAUUAUACAUCUGUAACCCAGAAGAAGAAAAUGGUGAUUAAAAAUGUUCAGUUCAAGUCAAGAGGAGUUACCAGCGUAGCAGAAGCCAGUGGCUUUCCCAAUCGAUGUUCAAAGAUUUGGAACUAGGCUGAUGUCCUACAACAACACCGAUGGCUUGAAGUUUAUUACUAACAAUUCGUUUUCUCAUCAUCCCAAAUAUGGAUCGACAUACAGAAGGAGCACAUCCUUGCAAAUCAUAAGCAGAACAUUUCAGACCCAUCUCCAAAGACUUUCCACAUAUUUCAAGUUUAUUUAUUUUUUGUUUUUGUUUCUUCUUUACCGUUAGCUUUCUAGGAAGUUGUAGUUGUUUUUAUUAAUUCAAUAAAAGCCUGACCCAUGUGGUCAUAUUAAUUUUUUUUUUAAAAAGAGUUAACAGUAACAUAAAAGAGUUCAAAUAUGCCAUCAAAUUUUGGAAAAAAGACUCGUUUAUGCCACCCGUUAAUAGUUGGCUGACUCAAUCAUGCCACUGCAUUAGAGAAAGGGUUCAUUCGUGCCAUUAUUUUUUAACAUACAGGUUUGACGGUUAGCAAAACCGUUCUUUCCUCUUAUUACAGGUCCACAUCACUAAAAUUAAACUGAUCAAAAAAGUUCAAAUAUGCCAUCAAACUUUGGAAAAAGGUUCAUAUAUGCCAUUUGUUAAUAAUUGAGCUCAACCAUUCCACUGUCAUUAUAGAUAGGACCCAUUCGUGCUACUUUUUUAACGGCCAGGUUUGAUGAUUUCGCAAAAUUAUUUUUUUCAUGUGGCCUCUUAUUAGAGGUCCACAUGCAAAAAUAAACCAACCUAAUUUAAUUAAAUUUGAAAUUAAAACCUGACUCAAAACACCACACUGGACCCACCCUAACCUAUUUCCCCUUUUAUUUAUCCCCCAGACCCUUAGAUUGAUCAAUUGACAAGAAACAUGGUUGAAUUCAACUAUUAAUGAAUGGCAUAGACGAACAUCUUGUCACAGUUCAAUGGCAUAUUUGAACUUAUUUUUCGACCAGUUUAAUUUUGGUGACAUGGACCUCUAAUAAGAGGCCAUAUGGAAAAAAUAGUGUUGAAAAACCACAAAUCCUGACCGUUAAAAAUCAAUGGCAUAAUGGGUCAUUUAUGUAACGGCAAUGACAUGAUUGAGCCCAACUAUUAAAUGAGGUUUUUUUUCCUCAAAAUUGGAUGACAUAUAUGAGUUUUUUCUCUACUAAUUAUUAUUACAGAGAAACAACUAAUGCAUUCCCAAUGACUAAUAAAAAAAAGUGUGUGUGGAAGGAUAGCAUGACUAGUCGCUCAGUUGGUUGGAUAUCAGAACUUUCACCUUUUGAGGGUUCAACUCCCUACCCCAAAUUUGUAUCUAUAAAGACAUAUAACCAGCCAUCUGCUGUUGAUCACUUUUUUUUUUUUUAAGAAGAAAUUUAAAGAGGAAAACAAAAAUAAAACACUUCUUUAACUGGUUCAACAGAGCAUAAACUAAUUAUUAUGUCUGAUAUCCAUUUUUUUGUUAUCUAGACCUAUAUCAGAAAUUAAAACACAAGUGUUUUUGAAGUGCCAUAGUGUUUCAUACAAGACAAUCAUAAAAUGUCUACAUCAAAACCAUAUUCACAAUAUUUGAAGUGCCAUUGUGUUUCAUGAAGUUUAUUGGUAAAAUGGAUUAAUAACUCAGGUGUUGUAUCAGUUUAAGAACUUGGAGAUUUUGGAAAGCAAUAGAAAGUUAAUAUUCAAUAUAUCUUACAAUUUUCGAGCGUGACGAGUAGUCGAUUGAUCGAUCUUCUUUUGCCUUUUUGUAUCUCCAAUUAGUUCUGAUCCAAUCCUAGAAAAAGAGUUGUUGAUAACUUAUCUAUAAAGCAGAUUCCACUUAAGAAAGGAUAAAAAUUCAAAGGGAGAUUUAGAAAAAUGUUUAUUGAAAAAUACCUGAUAAAGAUUGAAGUAGGAUUAAGCUAACAAGAAAAGAUUAAUAUGAACAUAAUUAACUUGGAACAAUGAGGAAAUGUUUGUGUCAUACUAGAGAACAAGAUUGGUGGAUGAAUAAUUAUGGUUUAACCAAAGGACUGGAUCUAAAUCCUACAAAAAAGGCAAUGGUAAUUUUAUUUAAUGAAUAAUUUUGGGUUUAUCAUAUUAAUUUUUAGACAGCUAAUACAUUGUCAGGUUAAUAUGCAUUCCCUUUGGCUUUCAAAGUCAAUGGUUGCAUUAUUUAAUGAAAUAACAUGGCUUAUGCUAUAUGCAGAGAGACAACUAAUUAAUUGGAAGGUUGGUAUCCAUUCCCAAUGAUUAAUCAAAGUGUGUGGAAGGAGAGGACAGUUGGCUACAGAGACAACUAAUUAAUUGACUACCUGAACUUUCACAUUGUCCUUUAUUAAUCACAUUGUCGUUCUAAUUACUGCAAAUAAAUCAGUUCUACUUAUUUAGUCUUAUAAUUCACACUGGUAAGUCAUAGUUUGAUGGAUAAAUUCAGAGACGUGCGCCACCAUUGUCCUCCUGGAAAGCUGAGUAGGGGUUUGACAACAAGUCAUGAUAUGUAUUUGGCUUCAUAUGAUGCUCAAACUCUCCAAAAAAAUUGUUGUGCCCAUGUCGGAUCCUCCAAAAAUGUAAUAUGUGGAAGUGACCACAUUUUUGAAGAGCGUGAACAGCAUAGAUGCAAAUUAGAUUUCAUACAGGAAUACUCAUCUUUCAAUUCAACUUAGUAUUCUCUGGAGGUGUUUUUUGUAUUCAACCAGAAAAACAACUUGUGUACAUAUAAGGUGUAAGAUGAAGGGAUUAUAGAAAUUAACAACCACCUAAUUAGAAAAACAGAAACGAAACAAUGAUUUUGACAGUGAUACAGAAGGCAACAGUAAAAGAUCAUCUGAUAAAAAGAGUUGAUCAAUCAAAACAAACUUAGCAAUCGGUACUGGUGUUACAAUAUAAGAGGAUGAGCAUGUACGUUACAAUAGACUCUCUGAGCUUUUGCUGCAGUUGUCAAAUUCAAACAAAUCCUCAUGCUCAAUUAAGCGAAAGCAAGCAUUGAAUUCCAUUGUUGACAAGCACAUACUUGAUUCACAGCAGCCUUAUAUUGCUUCCCCCAUAAUCCUGUAUUGAACCCAGGAGAAAAGCUCGGUAUUUCAGAAAAUUCAGACCGAAGGAGAAAAUGGAAGAAACGACACCGUUAAAUGUACCGAGGAUAAAGCUAGGGUCACAAGGACUAGAAGUUUCCAGGAUCGGGCUAGCUGUAUGAGUAUGUCCGGUAACUACGGCCCGCCCAAGCCCGAGCUUGAAAUGAUCAAGCUACUUCAUCACGCUAUUGAUACUGGAGUGACCUUACUCGAUACUUCUGAUGUCUAUGGACCUCUCACUAAUGAAAUCCUCAUUGGUAAGGUGAAGAUCCUUUUUUAAAACAAGUAAUUAGUUGUACUUCUUGCUUACUUUGGUGUACCUGUCUGAUCCUGUAGUGAUUUUAUUGUUCACUGCGAAAAAAAUGAAAUUUUAUGAUUAAUUCUAUGAAUUUUCAGGUUUAAUUGGAGUUAAAGUAGAUAUCUUUAUCUUUUUUAAAGUGUAAUGAAAUCCAUUUAAUAAUCCUCUACAAAAAAGUAUGGAGUUUUUACCAAACGGGUGUCCUAGUGGUCGAUGAUGUGGGUCGAGAACCAUGAGAUUUCAGGUUCAAAUGGUAGUGAAGGCAAAAAUUAGGUGGAUAGAGUUGUGGGUACCCCUUGGAAUGACUUGGAAUAGUUGAGGUUCAUGCAAGCUAAGCUGGGACACUGCGGUAGUUAAAUGAAAGUAUGGACUUUUUGUAUCUAAAUAGUAACAAGUAUAUCCUUUCUAGAUUCUUGAUUUUAGAUUUGAGUUCAAGAUUAGCAGUUUUAGAUUUUUUUUACCUUAGAGUCUGUAAAAUAUAUUAUUUUCUGCAAUCUUGUAGUUAGAAAUUAGUCAUCAAAGCAUAAAAAAGAUAUUAGUAAUAUAUAGCCUUUGGUUAUUUACAAUAUAGGUUGCUCUUCCUGCACUUGCUUGUUGAGAGUUGUCGAUUUUUCAAUGUUAUCAUAUGGGUUAGAAUUGUUUAUGCUUAAUGCGAAUUCAAGUUGUACUUUUUCAUCUGAUACCAUGGCCGCUAAACACUCUAUAAAGUAGAGCAUUUAUCCUGUUCUUCUAUAUACUUGAUUUACAUAAAACUUGGAGUAUCUCAAACUGAUAAAUCUUCCAGAGACUCGAAUCUGUAUCCUCGUAAAUCUAUGCUUUACAUUUUGAACCUGAGUUUUACAGGUAUAUAAUAUGUUCAUGUUAAACUACCUGAUUUCAUGUAGGCUAUUAAAGGCAUAAGAGAGAAAUUACUAAUAGCUACCAAGUUUGGAAAUAGGGGCAUUUGUGGUGAACCUGCAUAUGUAAGGGCUUGUUGGGAGGCCAGCUUGAAGAGACUGGAUAAUGACUGCAUUGAUACUCAGUUGCCAAUUGAAGUCACGGUUCAACAUCUUUGCUCCAAAAAAUUAUUUUUCCAGUGUACUUCCAUCACUUUUAAGUUUUAAGAAGUAGUCAUGUUGUAUGAUUUGUGUGUCUAAUCAGGUGAAUCCUAUUUCAUUGAUCGUCGCAUAUAGAGCUUUUCCCCAAGUUUGCCAUCCAAAAGCACUACUCAUACUUGGUUUGAUUGGUAUAUCAACCCAUGUUUUAUGUGACAAACCUUGUUAAGUCUAUGCUACUCUUUUCAUUUUUGCUUCUCGUUGUAUUUAUGCUUUUUUUUUUUAUAGUCAUUCUACGAACUUCUUCAAUCUAUGAUAAACACUUUCAUAACAAGUUAUCUCUGAAAUACUUAUAAUUGGAAAUGAUUUUCAAGACAACAGGUUAUCCCAACAUUUGUGAAGUUGAUUUAGUGAUGUCGUUUCAUAAAAUAGUUUCUCGCAAUUAGGUUAUUGUCUUGUCAUUCAGAUCCUCUGAUUUAUGCAAUUAUCUGAAGGUAGUAAUUUCAAUAUUAUCUAUGUGAUGCAUAACUGCGGAAUCUGCAGUAUCAUUACUCUAUUUACCAAAUUGUGCUGUAUAUGUUCUAACUAGUAUCUGGAACGUGCGUUGCACGUUUAUCCCUUAUUAGUUUUAUUAAAAAAAAGGGAUAAUGCAUAAGUACCCCCCCAGCCUAUGCCCGAAAAUCCCAGAGACACACCUAACCUUUACUAAGGUCCUAUUACCCCCCGAACUUAAUUUAUCUAUAAUAUUCUACCCCUUUUCGGCCUACGUGGCACUAUCUUGUGGGCCCAGUGCACGUUGACAAAUUUUUCAAGGAUAGUGCCACGUAGGCCAAAAAGGGGUAGAAUAUUAUAUAUAAAUUAAGUUCGGGGGGGUAAUAGGACCUUAGUAAAGGUUAGGUGUGUCUCUGGGAUUUUCGGGCAUAGGCUGGGGGGUACUUAUGCAUUUUCCCUAAAAAAAAUUAUAUUUAUAAAGUUCAAUUAUAAAAUAAGAAAUGCAGAAAUUAACAAUUUUAAUUCUGAUUUAGUCUCUAAUGAUAUGGAUAUGUCAAUGAAUAGCUAGUUUUUUCCAGAACAAACAACUCAGUUAUUGAAGUAGUUUGCAAUGAGUUUCUACUCGAAAAAAUAAUAAAUAAUACAUGUAAAAGUCUUUGACGAAAGUAGCAAAGACAUGAAGAAGAAAUAAAUUUAAUUCUAGUUAUUGCUGAAAUCACAAAUAUAAAGAAUAUUUUUCAUUUUUUCUGGUGCUUAUAUGAAUUGCAUUCUUUUUCUUUUUUUAUAUACAGUACUAUUCUUUAAGGGUGUGUUUGGUAUGAAGGAAAACAUUUUUUCAUGUUUGGUUGGAUUAAAUGUUUUGGAAAAUGUUUUCCAAAUCAACUCAUUUUCCUCAAAUUUAAGGAAAAUGACUUCCCUUCAAAACUUAAGGAAAACAUUUUUCAAAACUCUCUUCCAACUUCAAAUUACAAUUACUGUUUUGUUGAAAAAAUCAAUUUAUUUUGUCCAUACCCUCAAAUCACUCCCCCAGCCACCCCCUCCCCCCCCCACAAGAAAAAUAAAAUAAAAUCUAAAGAUUGUUUUUAAAUUCAAUUUUUUUACCCCACCUUUACCCCAUCCCCUCCCAAAAAAAUAUUUAAAAUUAUUUUUAAAAGAUAUUUCUAAUUUCAAUUUUUUAUUUUUUUUACCCCCACCCACUACCCUCGCCCUAGUUAUUGCUGAAAUCACAUAUAUUAAGAAUAUUUUUCAUUUUUCCAGGUGCUUAUAUGAAUUGCAUUCUUUUUUUUUUAUAUAUACAAUACUAUUCUUUAAGGGUGUGUUUGGUGUGAAGGAAAAUGUUUUCCAAUUUUUUCAUGUUUGGUUGGAUUAAAUGUUUUGGAAAAUGUUUUCUAAAUCAACCCAUUUUCCUCAAAUUUAAGGAAAAUGACUUUCCUUCAAAACUUAAGGAAAACAUUUUCCAAAACUCUCUUCAAGACAACAGGUUAUCCCAACAUUUGUGAAGUUCCAUCCCUAGUUGAGUAGUGUUAAUUAUUGUGUAGGGUUUUUAUAUUUUUAGUCUAAUAUACUACUAAUUAUAUUAAUAUUUUUUAUUUAAUCUAUUAUAUAUGUAUAACUAAAAAUUAAAAUAGUAAAUUAUUAUAUUCUUAAUGGGUUAUCGGUUAAGCCAAUAACUCAAUAUUAAAAAACCAAUAACGAACCGAUAACCCGAUAAUUCUUUUUGUAAAAUCAUUAAAUAACCGUUAACCCAAUAACCCAAUAACAAUAAACCAAUAACACUUUUUUCGGUUCGAUUUAUCGGUCGGUUCGGUUUUUGCACACCCCUAAUAAAUAGUUCUAAUUUAAAGAUAAUCAUUCUUUUUUCAUAUCAAGCACUAUACUGCUAAACAUACUAAGAUUGAGGUUUAAACCACACCUACAUAUAUUAAAACAAAAGAUAUACCUGGAAAAAAAAAGAAUCUCUAGCAUAAUGAAAAUGAUUGGAAGAUGGGAGAAAGAAAACUUAUUGUAUACCUUUAUAGAGUUUUGUAAUAUAAAGAAUAUGAAAAGGUUGUGGGAGAAAAUUAUUAAUGAAAAAAAUUAUAUAAACAUUGAUCAACACUAACUAAGAAAAAUAUGAUUAGAAACGUUUUUGGAUUGUAAUCAAGUAGAUUAUGACUGUCCAUCUUCAAUCUUUAAGUAUUGAAUUUAGUGUAAAGCAUUAAAUGCUGUUGGAAUGAGUUUAACUGGAGAAACUAAAAGGAUCAAUAAUUAAAGCUCAACAAAAAAUAGAAAAUUGUUUAGCAUUUUCUAAUUUAAAAAAUUAGUGAAGGGCAUUUUAGUAAUUCAACUUUGAACUCAAAAUCUUCCCACUUUUAUUAUAAUAUGAUCAACUAGUUGUGUGAUAUGAUAAAACAUCAAAGAGAGAAAAAAACGAGAAUGCAAAUUGAAAUGUGAAUAAUCUCUAGUGGUGAGUGUUCUCCUUUUCAAUAAGUCUUACGCGAUGAAAAUUUAAAUUAGUCAGAUUAUUUGGUAUAGAUACUAAAUGAGACGAGAAAGAUGAGAUUGUACAUCAUGAGCUAGAUCUAAGAUUUAGGCAAGAAAAGAAAAGGCAAUCUGUAAAAGAGAAAAGUGAAUAAUCUCUGCAAUAACAAGCGUUUCCACCUUUAUUAAGCAAAUCAAAAUUUUGAAGAAUGUACCUAUUAUCACGAGAUAGAUCUAGAGGUUAGCCAUCAGAUCUCAACUCAUUCCAUAGAGUGUGGUAGGAAUUAGGAUAGAUGAUAUCUAGCUAUCAAAUUAUAUCCUAAACAAAAAUAUUUAAUUUGAGCGCUCUAGAGAUGUAUCUGAAUUAAUUGGAUCAGUGAAUUACAAAUACAUAUGAAAUGAUUAAACAGAAAGAAAAAAAAAUUCAUCUAAAUUUAACAUACUUACAAUGAGAAAAACUUGAAGAUCACCUCCUCAAUCUGCCAAAAGCCUCCCUAAUAGAAGAUAUCACACAUAAUAAUAGGAGUAUUUAAAUAAGAAAAAAAUUUCAUUGAGCAUUUAUUACUUAACAGAUAGAGUCAAUGAGAGAAGAAUAUUGACUAAUGACUAUAUUAAAGAAUUAAUUAAUCAUGGAUUAAGUUUAAUUAAAUUAGAUUCUCUAUUCAUACAGUUGGUUAUGAUGUUGAGAUAAUUUUGUUAUUAACAAUUCUAGGUUUAGUACUGUUUAAUAAAUCAUUAUAAUCUUUGACCAUUUAUCAUCCCUUUCUCAUCUGUAAAUUUUUUAUUUUUUAUUUUGAUGAAAAAUAAAUAAAAAGUGGUAAGUUAGUGUAAAUGUAAAAGUUCAUAAUCAUAUAUUGGAAAAUUUAGCAGUCAUUUGGUACUUGGUAGGUGUAUAUAGCAAGGAGGUCUGAUACACAAAUAUAUUAUACGUGAGUAAGUUAGUUAUACGAAAACGUUAUAUAUUAAACACAAAUAUAUUAUAUGUGAGUAAGUUAAUUAUACGAAAACGUUAUAUAUUAAUUUAUGAUGAUAGGGUAUAUGAAAUAAUAAUAAAAGACUAAAUUUUUAUUCCAUUUAAAAAAUAACCACAUUUUAUAAAUUGUUAAAAAUUAUAUAAACGAAAAUUAAAUUGUAAAUGGUAUUCCAAUUAUAGUUUAUAAAAUUGGGGCAUCCAAUAUUAAUAGGUGUACAUCUAGUCAAUUUUUCUAUGACUACAUAGUAUUGUAUAAAAUUUCAUGGAAUUGUUAUUUUCUCCAUUGACUCAUGACUAAUUGUAAUUGAUAUUCGAAAUUCUUUUGAUAUGCUAAGUUGUUGAUCAACUAUAAGGUAGCAAAGGUCACUCUUAAAAGUGUAGUUUUAUGAUACGAAAAUCGUUAUCAUAUGACGGAGAAUUCAUAUAUCUAACAUUUGAAAAACAUGACUUUAGGGCAAAGAUUACGCUAAUUUAUGCUACCGUAUGGGCAGAGAAGGAGAGUUCAUAUAAAUUUCUAAUCAAUAGAAAUUUGUUGGAAAUUUGACAAAAGGAAACUUCAAAAAGUACAUUCAUCUAGAAUUUGGACAAGUCCUUUGUAAGAAAAGUAAAAAGUAAAAUAUUUGAACUUGUCAAUUAAUUAACUACAAAGACAACAGACUAUUUUUCAACACAUUAUUGAUUAUCUUCAUGUUUCAAUUUAGAAUCAAACCAGAAACCAUUUUGUAGGUACUAUAGUCAGACCUCCAUCCUUUAUAAUAAUAUUUUACUAUCAUAACUAUAUUUUUGUGAUAAUCAAUCUUUCAUAUUAUAUUAUAUAUACUAUAUGUUAUUAUUACAUAUCAAUUUGUUAUACUAGUCAAAACCAAUAUCGAAUCAAACAACAUUGUUAAGAAAAGAGAUUUUGACUAUAGAAUAAAAAAGGUCUACAUGUUUUCUGGGUCAAAGAUAACCUUAAAUACUUGUCUUUCCAGGUGUAAAGAACACAUUGUCAUUUAGUACACAUGCUAGUCGAUAAAUUCACGCUAAGUAAAUUUAUUCAAAGUAAAACAUUAUCUAUUAAUCAAAUAUUUUAUAUUUAGAGCUCGAACUCUACCCCUUUAUUCCCUUCAAAUUUCAUAUCUAGUCAAACACAAUUUGACAUCAAAGUAAGUAACGUAAAAAAUCCUUUAUCUCCAUUUCUCAUUAUCAUUUGUAAAUUGAAUUCCUUUACUUUAUAACCAUUUUAUGGUUCAUAAUGAGUUUCCUCUCACAUUCAUACCAUACCAAUACAAUGUCACUAUCCAAAGACCUUUCUUACCUAAAUACUUGCCUCAACGUUGUUUUUUGAUGGAAUUCGUCGAUUUAAAGAGACUAAAGGAAUUAUUGUUAACACUUUUUUCGAGCUUGAAUCGUUUUCUCUUCAGGCUCUUUGGGGUUCUAAGAUGGUUCCAAAAAUUUAUCCAGUUGGUCCAGUGGUUAGUUUUGAAAAAAGUGGUCAUUUUCGAAAUAAUUCAUUGGAGAUUGAAAGUAUUAUUAAGUGGUUAGAUGAUCAACAUGAUUCCUCAGUUGUAUUUUUGUGUUUUGGUAGUAUGGGAAGUUUUGAAGCAGAACAGAUCAAAGAAAUAGCAAUUGCACUGGAGCAUUGUGGUCACAGGUACUAUUAGUUGUAUUUUUUUUUACCCUCCUGUUUCAAGUUUCUUGUCUGGUUUACAUGUAGCACAUAGUUUUUUAUGAAAAUAGAAAAGAUUUUUGAAUCUUGUGGUCAGUCUGAAACGAAAGAUAGGUAGAAUAUACCAAAAUGUCUUUUAAUUUUACAGUUUUAAACAUGUCAUAUGGAAAUUUAAAGUUAAAGAGUUGUCAAAAAAGAAAACAGAAUAAAAAGAAAAAUAAGACAAACAAAUUUAAACGUCGGAGGGAAUAACAUAGUGUACAUACAUAUAAUGCAUUUGGUAAAAUGAUAAAAGGUUUCUUUAUUAUUAACCAGAGAUGUUGUGUUCGAGCCUUGUGAAUGAACUCUCAUAAUUUACAACAUUUAUGAUAAUAAGGAUUCAUUAAGGGUUGUUUUCGUGAUGCAAGUUUUUUUUUUUUUUUUUAAUCUUGAAGUGGCUUGUUAAUAUAUCUCUUUAAGGAAAGUUGUUUUCACCAAUAAUGUUCAAGACUCUCCAAAUUAAUAUUAUGUCGUGCGCACCUGUGUUGGAUUCUCCAAAAUUACUCUAUUUUUGGAAAAUCCAACACGUACAUGUCGGCAUUUUUGAAAAAUCUGAGCAACAUAAUUUUUCACACCUCAAAUAUCCAUUCCUAAUUUUGUUUUAUUGUUAUUUUCAAAUAGGUUCUUGUGGUCUUUAAGAAAAUCUCCACCAAAGGGAAAAGUAGAUAUACCAACAAGUUACAACAACUAUGAAGAAGUUUUGCCAAAAGGAUUCUUAGAGAGAACAAAAGAAAUAGGAAAAAUAAUAGGAUGGGCACCACAAGUAACAAUUUUAUCUCAUCCAUCAAUAGGAGGAUUUGUGUCCCAUUGUGGAUGGAAUUCAAUACUAGAAAGUGUACAUUUUGGUGUACCAAUUGCAACUUGGCCACUCUAUGCAGAACAACAAAUGAAUGCAUUUUUGUUAGUGAAAGAAUUAGGACUUGGUGAAGAGAUAAAAUUGGACUAUGUUGUUGAUUUUGAAGGAAAAAACAAUCAAGUUGAUAUAGCAAGUGCUCAAGAAAUUGAAAGUGGUUUAUUAAAGUUGAUGGUAAAAAGUGAAGAGAAUGAAGUGAGGAAAAAAUGAAGGAAAUGAAGGAGAAGAGUAGAGUAGCUAUGGAGGAAGGUGGAUCAUCUUAUAACUCUCUUGGACUUCUUAUUAAGGAUGUAAUCAGAAAUAUUUAAUUUUCUUAUAAUAUGAAGAAGCAAAAAGAAGAGAAGAUAUAUGGUAUUUGAGGAGAUAUGUAGUAUCAUGAUUUAUGGUCAUUUUCUUAAUAUUUGUAUACUUUUACUAAUAUUUAUUGAAUGUUUUCACUUUUCAUUAUAGUUUUAUUUAUUUAUUUUGUAUUUCUUUCAAACAAUUUUCGUGAUCCGAGUCUAUCGGAAACAUUCUUCUUACCUUAAAAAGAUAGAGGAAAAGUCCGAGUAUAAUCCACCCUCCUUAUAGACCUCACGUAAUUUAUUGAUUAUACUUGAUAUGUUAUUAUUAUAGUCGAUUCAAAGAGAAUAAAGAGCACUGAAUAUUUGUGUUUAACUAAAAUUUGAGUAUACACGCAUAUCACUUUAACGCUAGUACAAAUUAAGUAUUUAAAAGUAUAUAUAAUAUGUAUAGAAUAUUUCACUCGAUGAAGACAAAAAUUUUUAAUCAUAUUAUGUAUUAUAAUAAUUCUAUUUAAAUUUAGCACAAAAAAAAUAAUUACUCUCACAUGGAAUGCUCCUUUUCAAUUUUAAUUCCAAAAUAUUCUUUUUUUUUCCAACUAACUCUAGCCAAAUACUAGUCCAAACACCUACUGGUCAAACUUUGGUGAACGUAUGCUCUGAGCUCACUGUUCAGACGGAGAUUCGCCGGAGAAAAUGGAAACGCCGGCGAGUGAAGUUCCGAGGGUCAAAUUAGGCUCGCAAGGCCUAGAAGUUUCUAGAAUCGGGCUGGGCUGUAGAGGCAUGUCUCCCAAUCAUGGCCCGCCCAAGCCCGAGCCCGAAAUGAUCAAGCUCAUUCAACACGCCAUUGAUCGCGGCGUCACCUUCCUCGAUACCUCCGAUCAAUAUGGACCCCACAUCAAUGAACUUCUCAUCGGCAAGGUAAAAUAAAAUGUAAAAAAUUACUGCUUUAAUUUGUUGUACCUCCUUAUUUGUUGUGUUGUACCUUGCUGCUUUCCAAGUUGUAAUUACUCCCUUUGUCCCAAUUUAUAUCAAAGGUUCGAAAUAUGAUGGUUAAAACUUAAUUUUAACAGUGAAUUCGGCUAUAAAUUCUUCAAAAUGUUUAAAAUGAAAAUUUACAUAUAUGAAAACGACUAUACAAGUCGAUAUGGCUAAUGAUUCGAUAUUUAAACAAAAUUUAUGAAAUGGAGUCAAAUGGAUUAUUUUUUUUGUUCUAGAUAUCAACAACAACAUUUUCUAGAAUUAUUUGCAUCUUAUCAAAUUACUUAAAUGAAGUUUCCAAUAGCAUAGACACUAACUGAGGUACUUAAAUAUGUGCAUUCUAAAUUUUAUUUGUUUAGGCAAUCAAAGGAAUGAGAGAAAAAGUACAAAUAGCUUCCAAGUUUGGCAUAAGUUUGAUAGAAGGGAAAAUGGACAUUUGUGGUGAUCCAGAGUAUUUAAGAGCUUGUUGUGAAGCUAGCUUGAAGCGACUAGAUAUCGACUGCAUUGAUCUUUAUUAUGUUCAUCGGAUUGAUAUCCGAGUGCCUAUUGAAAUCACGGUUUGACAUCUUACUCCUAUUUUUUUUUCCAUUUAUUAUAUUUGAGGAUUUCUGGCAAACUUGUUGUAGUACUAUUCUGUUGCUAUCUGUUGUUUACACUAGUAUCUGUUGUUUCUUGUAUUUCCGUUACUUCUUUUUCUAGACUACUAUGAACUAUUUUUCCUUGAGUUGAGGGUCUAUCGAUAACAACCUUUCUAUCUCUACGAGGUAGGGGUAAGGUCUGCGUAUACACUAUCCUCACUCAGACUCCACUUUGUGGGACAACACUAGGUAUGUUGUUGUUGAUUUCUAACGAAUUGUUGGAUUGUGUGGUUUGUGUAAAGAGGUAACAGUAACCAGUUAAUCACUUGGAUAAAAGCAGAUUUCACUGGAUAUAGCUCGGCUAGAAACCGCAAAAAUCUUCUAGUCUUUUAAAAAAAGAAAUUGAUUUAAUCAACUGUGUGGGAAAUGGUCCCGAGCUAUUUUACUUGAAUCCGCUUUUAUAUUGCCAAACUGACAUAUUCAUGAAGAUCUUCUGAUGCACUAUAUUUUUCGGAAUCUUCAAAAGUGUUGAUGGAGAUGAGUGCGUGUAGGAUCCUUCAAAGGCAGUACUUUGGCAGAGUCCGAUCAACAUAUCUGAUGUGUUGUUUGUCAAUCCAUAAGAUAGAGUCAGAGACGGAAGAAUGUUCUACUGACAGUAGAGAAAAAAGGGGUGUACAAAAAGGUUGAAUUGAAUCUUAUGCUAUGUGAGAAAUGUUAUGUGUUUCUCUCGAAUUCUCGGAGGAUAGGCCAAUACUUUGAAAUUUUUAUGUUGAUAAAGUUUACUUAGUAAAAGAAACACUCAUCUAUGCUUACUGUAAUUUCGUAGUUGCUCCAACUAUGAAAUAAUUUUUCUUUAUGUCACAUUUAUACACUCUACACUGUCACCGACAAAAUGCUUUAUGAUGAAAUCACAAACAAAGGUCAGCUGAGACCUGUACAGAAAUAAUCAUGGAGAUCAGGAUUCUAAAAAAGGUUGAAUUUUUUGUGUAGCAUUCAGUGUGAGAUUUCUUGACAAUUGACAUUUUAAGGAGAAGAAGCAGCAUCACUGUUAGCUACUACUACCGUUUUUGAAAGCAUCACCAAGUCAAAAUUAAUCAUCUUUUGUUAUAAACAAGUAGUAUAAAAGAGAUAAAAUGUCCAGUGGAUGAAAGAAUGUCAAUAAAGACGAUACUCCUGUCAGAUAGAAAAUCAACAUUUUGAGGCUUAAUGUAACAAUAUAAUCGGGCAUUUUGUUUAUUGUGGUUAUUGUUAUUGUUUUGUUGUUAUGAUACUGUGUGGCAUAGUGUGUAGAUGGGAGAACUGAAGAAACUGGUUGAAGAGGGUAAAAUCAAAUACAUAGGUUUAUCCGAGGCUUGUGCAACAACAAUCAGAAGGGCACACGCGGUGCAUCCAAUAACAGCUGUUCAGAUGGAGUGGUCUUUGUGGACCAGAGAUCUGGAGGAAGAAAUAGUUCCAACUUGCAGGUAAUGUGUCUCUUAGAGUUCACUCUUUCAGUUAAUAUGAAGGUUCUUCUGAGUAAAUGCCUUUUCCAGAGAAUUAGGAAUUGGAAUUGUUCCGUAUAGUCCUCUUGGACGAGGAUUCUUCUCAGCAGGUCCAGAGUUGAUUGAGAGCUUGGCCGAGGGCGACUUCCGCAAGGUUGGUCUAGUUAAUUGCACUGUCUUCGAUCUUGCGUGAUUUUCAUUUGCAUUUAGCCAUUUACCUCAAUUAGCUGCAUAUCAUAGGCAUCAUUUUCCUUUUAAACCAAAAUUCUGUAACAUGUGUCAUUGGCUUUUUGUGAAACCCUCCAAGCCUCUCCUUGGGAGAGUUCAAUGUUAGCAUCAACGUUGUGACUUUCCUACUCUGAACCAAUGGCUUGCUGAUUAACUGAGCUCGACCAAUCUACCAGUAUUGAUCUUGAUGAGAUUUUGUCAGUAUUGAUGAAUUAAGGUUACGAAACACAUGCUCCCUUUUGAAUAAGGCGAUCUGAAUACAAGAUCAACGAGUCUUAACUUCUAGUGCAAAUUCGGACAUCAAAGAAGAACACUCUUUAUAAAUUAAAAUGCUUAGAGAGUACAAAAAAGGUACUCCUAUCCCACAACGAAUGGCGGAUCACAGUGUCAUGAUCAAUGCAUCCAAAUUUUUGGUAUAUCUGAAUUAUAGAAAUUUUACUAGAAAUCACAAUAUUUAUAACUAGAAUGAUACAAAAGUAGAGUUGUUUAAACGAAGUUGUCAUCAAAGAAAAAACUGUUUUGACUCAUUGGUACUGGGUAACUCUAUCCAUCAAGGCAUAGACAGAUAGAAAGAAAUCACCUAGUGUUUUUUAUUUGAACUUGAACCUCACGGUUCUCAAUCCAGUUUGCCAACUCAUCCUUGUCGCUCGAAAUCUCUUCUGAUACAGCAUGUUAUGAUUAACGUAUAAAACAAUACAUAUGAUCGGUAUGGUUGAUGUAUGUUUCUUUUAUCAUUUGUUUUUUUCCAGAAUAUACCAAGGUUCAAGCCUGAAAAUUUUGAGCAGAACAAGCAAAUAUACGAGCAAGUCAAGGAAACAGCAUCAAGAAAGGGAUGCACCACAUCACAACUUGCAUUGGCUUGGAUUCUUCACAAAGGAGAUGACAUAUGCCCCAUACCCGGUACCACCAAGAUUGACAACCUCAACGAAAAUAUUGAAGCCAUAUCUGUAAACCUGACAACUGAUGAAAUGAAGCAGUUAGAGUCCUGUGCUGCUGAAGAUAUGGUUAAAGGUGAAAGGCACGCAUUCAUGUGGGCAACUUGGAUAAAUUCGGAGACUCCACCAUUGUCCUCCUGGAUAGAUGAAUAAUGGAUACUUUCUCGUCUUGCUUUGGAAGAAGCCCCGUUAAAGCCCAAGUCUAAUUCGAAGUAAAGGCUGAACCCGGGCUAAUGGCAGUUCAGCAUUACUUUCUAGCAGGUUAAAUAGAGACUAGGAUUUACAAAUCUACAAUGUUCUGGACAAAUGUAUAAACACAGUGUGCACACAAUGUAGUUUGCUAGUAGUCUGAAGUUCUUUCGCUAGUGCAUACCUUUAUAUCCAAGUUUUACCUGUAUUUGUGAUGAAAAUUUAUUGUUAUCCCCUGUGUACCUUUGAUCCUUUGAGCGAUAGAGCCCUUCCACACAAGACUCCUGAAUCACUCCAAGUCUCGAUUUUUCAAUGUUAUCAUAUGGUUUAGAAUUGUUUAUGCUUAAUGCAUAUUCAAGUUGUACUUUUUCAUCUGAUACCAUGGCCGCU